rnacentral:lncRNA from 1 species
CUUUUUUUUAGUCCGGAAUCUCAUCCCGACUUGUGGGGGAAUCAUAGUCUCCAUCAUCCUUUCCUCACAUGGGACAAUGCUCUAAUAAUGAUGAUCAUCACACUUUUAUUACUUACAACUCAAGAAUUACAACUCAAUUCUUAGAACAAAAUAUGACUCUAUGUGAAUGCCUCCGGCGGUGUACCGGGAUAUGUAAUGAAUCAAGAGUGACAUGUAUAAAAAAUUAUGAAAGGUGGCUUUGCCACAAAUACGAUGUCAACUACAUGAUCAUGCAAAGCAAUAUGACAAUGAUGGAGCGUGUCAUAAUAAACGGAAUGGUGGUAAGUUGCAUGGCAAUAUAUCUCAGAAUGGCUAUGGAAAUGCCAUGAUAGGUAGGUAUGGUGGCUGUUUUGAGGAAGAUAUAAGGAGGUUUAUGUGUGAUAGAGCGUAUCAUAUCACGGGGUUUGGAUGCACCAGCGAAGUUUGCACCAACUCUCAAGGCGAGAAAGGGCAAUGCACGGUACCGUAGAGGCUAGAAAAUUGUGGAAGAUUGAGAGUGUGUAUAAUCCAUGGACUCACAUUAGUCAUAAAGAACUCAUAUGCUUAUUGCAAAAGUUUAUUAGCCCUCGAAGCAAAGUACUACUACGCAUGCCCCUAGAGGGGUAGAUUGGUACGAAACGACCAUCGCUCGUCCCCGACCGCCACUCAUAAGGAAAGCAAUAAAAGAAAACCUUAUGUGUCAAAAUUGUCACACAACUUUCACCAUACGUGCAUGCUACAGGACUUGCCAACCUUAACACAAGUAUUUCUAAAUUUCACAAUUACUCAACUAGCACACUCUAAUAUUACCACCUUUAUAUCUCAAAACACUUAUCAAGUAUCAAACUUCUCAUGAUAUUCAAUGAACUCAAUAUGGAAGUUUUUAUUAUGCUCAUCUUGGAUGCCUAUCACAUUCAGAUUAAUUUCACAAUUAAAGAAAAUUACCAUGCUGUUUAAGACUCUCAAAAUAAUAUAAGUGAAGCAUGAGAGAUCAAUAAUUUCUAUAAAAUAAAACCACCACCGUGCUCUAAUAGAUAUAAGUGAAGCACUAGAGCAAAAACUAUAUAGCUCAAAAGAUAUAAGUGAAGCACAUAGAGUAUUCUAACAAUUCCGAAUCAUGUGUGUCUCUCUCAAAAGGUGUGUAUAGCAAGGAUGAUUGUGGUAAAAAAAUCAAAGACUCAAAUCAUACAAGACGCUCCAAGCAAAACACAUAUCAUGUGGUGAAUAAAAAUAUAGCCCCAAGUAAAGUUACCGAUAGACGAAGACGAAAGAGGGGAUGCCUUCCGGGGCAUCCCCAAGCUUAGGCUUUUGUUUGUUCUUGAAUUUUACCUUGGGGUGCCUUGGGCAUCCCCAAGCUUAGGCUCUUGCCAAUCCUUGUUCCAUAAUCCAUCAAAUCUUUACCCAAAACUUGAAAACUUCACAACACAAAACUUAACAGAAAAUCUCGUGAGCUCCGUUAGCGAAAGAAAAGAAAACACCACUUCAAGGUACUGUAAUGAACUCAUUAUUUAUUUAUAUUGGUGUUAAACCUACUGUAUUCCAACUUCUCUGUGGUUUAUAAACUCUUUUACUAGCCAUAGAUUCAUCAAAAUAAGCAAACAACACACGAAAAACAGAAUCUGUCAAAAACAGAACAGUCUGUAGUAAUCUGUAUCUAACGCAAACUUAUGGAACUCAGAAAAAUCUACCUAAAUAGGACGACCUAGAUAAUGUGUUUAUUGAUCUAAUUCAAUUGGAAUCCGUAUUUUAUCACGUUCUGGUGAUUUUAAACAAUUGUUUUCGUGAGCAGAAAGUUUCUGACUUUUUCAGCAAGAUCAAAUAACUAUCAUCCAAGAAGAUCCUAUAGGUUUUAUUUGGCACAAACACUAAUUAAAACAUAAAACAACAUCUAACCAGAGGCUAGAUCAAAGAUUUAUUGAAUAACAGAAAGUAAAAAUAUUGGGUUGUCUCCCAACAAGCGCUUUUCUUUAAAGCCUUUUAGCUAGGCAUUGAUAAUUUUAAUGAUGCUCACAUGAAAGACAAGAAUUGAAGCACAAAGAGAGCAUCAUAAAACACGUGACAAACACAUCUAAGUCUAACAUACUUCCUAUGCAUAGGAAUCUUAUAGGAAAAAAAUAUCAAGGCAAGAAAAAACUAGCAUAUGAAAGGAAGCGGAAAGAAACAAUAGCAAUCUCAACAUAACGAGAGGUAAUUUAAUAACAUGAAAAUUUCUACAACCAUAUUUUCCUCUCUCAUAAUAAGUACAUGUAGGAUCAUAAGAAAAUUCAACAAUAUAGCUAUCACAAAACAUAUUCUUAACACGAUCCACAUGUAUGCAAAGUUGACACUCUUCCAAAAUAGUGGGAUUAACAUUAGCUAAAGUCAUGACCUCUCCAAACCCACUUUUAUCAAAAACUUCAUAAGAUUGAUCAAAAUCCAAAUAUGUGGGAUCUAAAGUUCACACUCUUCCAAACCCACUUUCAGUACUAUUUUAAACAUUAUUAUCAAUCUCAUAUUCAUCAUGGGGCUUAAAUAAAUUUUCAAGAUCAUAAGAAAAAUCACCCCAAUCAUGAUCAUUACAACAAGUAGUAGACAUAGCAAACUUAGCAUCCCCAAGCUUAGGGUUUUGCAUAUCAUUAACACAAUUGACAUCAAUAGAAUUUAUAAUAACAUCAUUGCAAUCAUGCUUUUCAUCAAAGGAACAUCAAGUAUGGGCGCAAUAGCAACGAUCUCAUGUUUAACAUAAGGAACUAUAGCAAAUUCGUCUUCAAAAAUAUUGGCAUCAUGGCCACAAGAAUAGCAAGCAUCAUGUUCAUCAAGGAUAUUUCAAUCAAAUCAUCGGAAUCAUUAUUAUCUAUAGAUUUGUGUAUAUCAUUAUUUUUUUCCAAGGCAACGGCCAUUCUCUCAAUAAAGUCCUUAACAUAGGCAUUAUGAGCAUAAUUUUCAUAGCAAUAUUUAAGUAUGUCGGAAUUUUGAGAUUUGUAGAGAGUAAUAUCAUACUUUUCAAUCAAAGAAGCAACUUCAUGAGCACCCUUAAAAAGACAAAUUCUUCAAUUUGUUCGAUAUCAUAGUAACUAUAAACACCCUUUCCAUAAGAAGAUAAGAUUUCAUUAUCAUUAAACUCACAUAGGUAGGGAAGGUGUUUUUUAGGGUUCUUAGAGCAACAAGUCAAAUCAUAAAUUUCACAAAGAUUCCAAGCAUAGCAUAGCAAAUUAUUUAUGUGAUACCAUAAGAGCUUCCCCUUUUCAGACAAACGAUGACGCACAAGAUGAGCAUGCUCAUCUAAAGAUUUCCCAUCAACUAGGCUAGUUGGGGUUUCAUCACGAGCACAUAAGGAUCGAAGAUGAUCCAAGUAGAACACUUUAAGUGGAUCCAUAACAAUAGAUUUUUAGCAAGCAAAGAUGCAAGCAAAUAGAAGGCACAUGGUAACACAAGCAAACAAUAGAUCUGGCAAGAAAAAGGCAAACGAAAAAGAAGGCGAAUAAAAUGGCAAGGGUGAAGUGGGGGAGAGGAAAACGAGAGGCAAAUGGCAAAUAAUGUAAUGCGAGGGAUAAGAGUUUGUGAUGGGUACUUGGUAUGUCUUGACUUGUGCGUAGACUCCCCGGCAACGGCGCCAGAAAUCCUUCUUGCUACCUCUUGAGCACUGCGUUGGUUCUCCCUUGAAGAGGAAAGGGUGAUGCAGUAAAGUAGCGUAAGUAUUUCCCUCAGUUUUUGAGAACCAAGGUAUCAAUCUAGUAGAAGACCACGCUCAAGUCCCACGCACCUACACAAACAAAUAAGAACCUUGCAACCAACACGAUAAAGGGGUUGUCAAUCCCUUCACGGCCACUUGCAAAAGUGAGAUCUGAUAGAGAUGAUAAGAUAAUAUUUUUGGUAUUUUUAUGAUAAAGACUAAAAGUAAAGAAAGCAAAAUAAACGGUAAUAGAAAUAACGGUAGAUUAAUAUGAUAGAGAAUAGACCCGGGGGGCAUAGGCUUCACUAGUGGCUUCUCUCAAGAGCAUAAGUAUUACGGUGGGUGAACAAAUUACUGUCGAGCAAUUGAUAGAAUUGAGCAUAGUUAUGAGAAUAUCUAGGUAUGAUCAUGUAUAUAGGCAUCACGUCCGUGACAAGUAGACCGACUCCUGCCUGCAUCUACUACUAUUACUCCACAUCGACCGCUAUCCAUCAUGCAUCUAGAGUAUUAAGUUUAUAAGAACAGAGUAACGCUUUAAGCAAGAUGACAUGAUGUAGAGGAUAAACUCAUGCAAUAUGAUAUAAACCCCAUUUUUUUAUCCUCGAUGGCAACAAUACAAUACGUGUCGUUUCCCCUACUGUCACUGGGAUCGAGCACCGCAAGAUUGAACCCAAAGCUAAGCACUUCUCCCAUUGCAAGAAAGAUCAAUCUAGUAGGCCUAACCAAACUUAUAAUUCGAAGAGACUUGCAAAGAUAACCAAUCAUACAUAAAAGAAUUCAGAGGAGAUUCAAAUAUUGCUCAUAGAUAAUCUUGAUCAUAAACCCACAAUUCAUCGGAUCUCGACAAACACACCACAAAAGAAGAUUACAUCGAAUAGAUCUCCAAGAGAAUCGAGGAGAACUUUGUAUUGAGAUCCAAAGAGAGAGAAGAAGCCAUCUAGCUAAUAACUAUGGACCCGAAGGUCUGAAGUAAACUACUCACACAUCAUCGGAGAGGCUAUGGUGUUGAUGUAGAAGCCCUCCGUGAUCGAUGCCCCUCCGGCGGAGCGCCGGAAAAGGCCCCAAGAUGGGAUCUCACGGGUACAGAAGGUCGCGGCGGUGGAAAUAGGGUUUUGGCUCCUCUGCUGAUGUUUUCGGGGUACGUAGGUAUAUAUAGGAGGAAGAAGUAGGUCGGUGUAGCUACGAGGGGCCCACGAGGGUGGAGGGCGUGCCCCCUGCCUCGUGGCCUCCUCGUUGAUUGCUUGACGUCCACUCCAAGUCCUCUGGAUCACGUUUGUUCAGAAAAUCACAUUCCCGAAGGUUUCAUUCCGUUUGGACUCCGUUUGAUAUUCCUUUCCUUCGAAACACUGAAAUAGGCAAAAAACCAGCAAUUUGGGUUGGGCCUCCGGUUAAUAGGUUGGAGGGAGUGGGGAGGGAGGGAGGGGGCGGUCAUAGGGCGGCAACGGCGCGGGGAGGGUGUGGCGGUGACAACGCGGGGAGGAUGCGGCGACGACGGCGCGGGAUGGCACGGGGGGGAGAGCAGAGAGACAGAGAGAGGGCGACGGCGGGGCGCGGCCGUUAAGUCAAUUUCAAGCUUUGCCGUCAGCUGGUGGACGGCAAAAGAGGGGCCCCGUUAGGGGUUGACAGCCAAUGGGGCACCUCCCUCUUUGCCGUCCGCUAGCAUACGGCAAAGCUUCCAUGUCGUCCGCUAGCUGACGGCAAACAAUCUCUUUGCCGUCCGCUUGUUCUUUGUCGUCAACCUUCUGUAUGCAUAUGGCAAAGACCUUCUUUGCCAUCAGCUAGCGGACAGCAAAGAACAGGCUGAUGGCAAAGAUCCUGAUUCUAGUAGUGUAGGUAUUUCCAUCAGAUAUCAAACCAAGGUUAUCGAACCAGUAGGAGGACCAAGCAACACAAUGUAAACAGCCCCUGCACACAAAUAACAACACCUUGCAACCCGACAUGUCAAAGGGGUUGUCAAUCCCUUUCGGGUAACGGCGCCAGAAAUUGCGUGUUGACACGAGAAAGUUGUAAUAGAUUGAAUAGAUAGAUCGCAAAUAAAAUAAAGUGCAGCAAAGUAUUUUUGUAUUUUUGGUUUAAUAGAUCUGAAUAAAAAGAGCAAAUAAAAUAGAUCGCAAAGCAAAUAUAUGAGAAAUAAGACCCAGGGGCCGUAGGUUUCACUAGUGGCUUCUCUCGAGAAAGAUAGCAAACGGUGGGUAAACAAAUUACUGUUGGGCAAUUGAUAGAGCCUCAAAUAAUUAUGACGAUAUCCAGGCAAUGAUCAUUACAUAGGCAUCAUGUCCAAGAUUAGUAGACCGACUCCUGCCUGCAUCUACUACUAUUAUUCCACACAUCGACCGCUAUCCAGCAUGCAUCUAGUGUAUUAAGUUCAUGGAAAAACAGAGUAAUGCAAUAAGAACGAUGGACAAGAUCUAUCUAUGUGAUAGACCCCAUCGUUUUAUCCUUAGUAGCAACGAUACAUACGUGUCGUUUCCCUUUCUGUCACUGGGAUCAAUCACCGUAAGAUCGAACCCACUACCAGGCACCUCUUACCAUUGCAAGAUAAAUAGAUCAAGUUGGCCAAACAAAACCCAAAUAUCGGAGAAGAAAUACGAGGCUAUAAGAGAUCAUGCAUAUAAGAGAUCAAAGAAACUCAAAUAACUUUCAUGGAUAUAAAAAGAUAUGACUGAUCAUAAACUCAAAGUUCAUCAGAUCCCAACAAACACACCGCAAAAAGAGUUACAUCAUAUGGAUCUCCAAGAGACCAUUGUAUUGAGAAUUCGGCGAGAGGGAUAAAGCCAUCUAGCUACUAACUACGGACCCGAAGGUCUACAAAGAACUACUCACGCAUCAUCGGAGAGGCACCAAUGGAGGUGGUGAACCCCAUCCGAGAUGGUGUCUAGAUUGGAUCUGGUUGUUCUGGACUCUGCGGUGGCUGGAUGAAUAUUUUGUCGAUGCCUUUAGGGUUUCUGGAAUAUUGAGGUAUUUAUAGAGCAAAGAGGCGGUCCGGGGGCACCCGAGGUGGGCACAACCCACCAGGGCACGCCUGGGCCUCCUGGAGUGCCCUGGUGGGUUGUCCCCUCCUCGGGACUCCCCCGAGGUGCAACCAGGGCCCAACAUCUUCCUUCUGGUCCAUAAAAAAUCUCCGUAAAGUUUCGUGACAUUUGGACUCCGUCUGAUAUUGAUUUACUGCGAUGUAAAAAACAUGGAAAAGACAGCAACUGGCACUUGGCACUAUGUCAAUAGGUUAGUUCAAAAAAUGAUAUAAAAUGAUUAUAAAACAUCCAAGAUUCAUAAUAUAACAUCAUGGAACAAUCAAAAAUUAUAGAUACGUUGGAGACGUAUCAGUUUCCAAUCAAUACAAUUCUAGCAUGAAUAAUAAACCUUUAUCAUGAAUAAGGAAAUAUAAAAUAGCAACUUUAUUAUUGCCUCUAGGGCAUAUUUCCUUCAAGGUGGUCCUUGGAAUCGAAGGGGAUGGCGUAUUGAGACCACCUGAGGGGGCGCAGAGACUUGAGCCUCGGGAGGGCGGCGUUCACCUCAUGAGAGAACUGCUUAAAGAGGCGGUUCGACGUGGGGGGCUGACCUCCGCCGAGGAUGCAGGCUAUGGUGCGAGGCUCCUGGUAGCCCCCAGCCCCCUCGUCCGGCUGGUUGUUAUCGUUCCUCCUGGGUGGUGGUGGCAGUGGCGGGAGGUCCGCGUUGCCCUGAGGACGGGCCUUGCGAGGCUGAUCGCGCCAGGCACCGUCACGAGGCUGAUCACACCAACCCUUCUCGCGAGGCUGGUCACGCCAGCCUUGACGGGGGUUGCUAUUGUCCCAGCGUCCUCCACCGCGGCCCCUCUGCGGUCGAAGCCACGGUCGUUGCGCUCGGGGCGUCGGUUCAAGCGCUCAUCAUGGAGCGCCCUGAGCUCCUGACAGUCGUCGGUGUUAUGGGUGCGCACAUUGUGGUAGAAGCAAAACAGGCGGCUAUCCUUGCCCGGCUCGUCGUGGUCACGGUUGUGCUUUAGCUCAGGCUCCGCCGCCAGCAUGUUGGGGCCCUUAUGCUUCACUUCCUCAGCCUUGGCCUUCUUGUCCUCGGGCUUAACAUCGGGGUUGUUGGCGAGACAGAGGCGGCCUUGUUCCGCCCUCGCGCACUUGUCAGCCAGGUUGAACAGCUCCAGUGCUGUACACAGGUCAUUGAUGAUGGUGAGCUUCUUGCUCAUCCUGACGUCCAUGACGCCGUCGGUGAACACCGAGAUGAUGGAUUCGUCCGAGGCCUUCGGGGUCUUGAGGCGGACCUGGGUGAAGCAUUGAAUGUACUUGCGGAGGGGCUCGCCGGGGCGCUGCUUCACUCACCGCGGGUCAUUGAUGGUGAGGGCGCGGUCACGGGUACCUUGGAAGUUGACAAUGAACCGCUCGCCGAGCUCAUCCCACGAAGAGUUUGACCCCUCGGGAAGGUUCAUGAGCCAGGAGCGUGCACCAUCCUUGAGGGCCAUGGGGAACCAGUUUGCCAUGACCUUGUCAUUGCCAUUCGGCGCCUCGAUGCUCAGCCCGUAGAGCUGGAGGAACUCCGUGGCGUCGGGGAUGUCGUUAUAGCGAGGAGGCUGCCCCGACUUGAACUUGACCGGCCAGACCACUCGACGCAGCUCACGAGUAAAGGCGCGGUAGCCGGCAGCGCUCACGGGCGCGCGAUGCACAGGAGCGCCGCGGUCAUGGCGCCCAAGCGCCACGGCCUCUUGGACGGCCCGGUCCUGAUGCUGACGCAGUGGCUCCGGAGGUGCGCAUGCGUCGAGUGGUAGCUGACGCACAAUCUGGCAAUUGGCCUCGUCUCGAGCCAGCACUGGCACUCCACGCGGCGGGUCGCGGGGCCGCGCAUAGUGCCGCGGCUCCACGUCGUCGCUGCCCAGGGGAGGAGGUGGAGGCGCACUAUGCGCCACGUCGCCUGCGCGAGACGGUGCGGGACAAAGCGAAUGGGAGGGCGAUGGGGCCUCGCCCACGGCGUUGACGAGCUUGGUGAUGCGACCUAGCCAGGCCUCCUAGCCUUCGUUGGUGAGGCGCUAGCAUAGCAGCUCGCGCGCCAUGAGCAACGCAGUCUGCGCGUUCGCCGGCUCACAGCGAGCAUGGGAGGAUGAAGCCGUGGCCGGAGUUGUCGGGUAACGUUGCAUGGAAAACAAAAAAAAUUAUACGCACACGCAAGAUCUAUCCAUGGAGAUGCAUAGCUACGAGAGGGGAAGAGCAUCUACGUACCCUUGUAGAUCGCUAAGCAGAACCGUUCAUCACAUGGUUGAUGUAGUCGUACUCUUCGCGAUCCGAUCACGAUCCAACCGAUCUAGCUAGUGCUGAAUGGACGGCAACUCUGAGUUUAGCACAUGUGCGGCUCGAUGACGUCUCCUUCUUGAUCCAGAAAGCGGGAGAGGAGAAGUAGAUGGGAUCACAACCAACAUGAUGGCAUGGUGGUGAUGGUGGUGGUGGAGCACCGACAGCGCUUCGCUAAGCGUCGCCGGGACGAGGCGGUGGAACUACUGAGUAACGGGAGAGAGAGGGGGGGCCAAGGGCUUGGUGUAUCCUCUUGGGGCGCCUCCUCCCCUCUAUAUAUAGGGUGAGGGGCGUGGGAAACAGCCCCUCCAAACCCUAGGGCGCAGCUAAGGGGGAGAUAACUUGGACUCCAAGUCCAAUCCUAUUCCUACUAGGACUCCAUCCUUUUUUGCCUUCCCUAGCCACAUGGGCUUUUGAGGACUUGGUGCGCCUAGCCCAAUAAGGCAAGGGCGCCUCCCCGCGGCCCAUGCUAGACCUUGGGUCGUGGUGAACCCACUUGUGGACUUUCGGACCCCUCCGGAAUCCUCUGGAACCUUCUGGAAGCUUCCCGGUACAAUACCGAAAAAACUGCACCUUUUUCCAAAACCCAAAAUAUGACUUCUCGUAUAUAAAUCUUUACCUCUCGAUCAUUCUGAGACUCCUCGUGACGUCCGGGAUCUCAUUCGGGACUCCUAACAACAUUUGGUUACCACUCAUCAAAUGUCCCAACACUACUCUAGCGUCAACGAAUGUUAAGCGUGUGACCCUACGGAUUCGGGAUUAUGUAGUCAUGACCGAGGCACCUCUCCGGUUAAUAACCAAUAGCGGGACCUAGAUGCCCAUAUUGAUUCCUACAUAUUCCACGAAGAUAUUUUAUCAGUUGAACCUUUAUGACAACAUACGUAAUUCCCGUUGUCUGUCGGUAUGUUUCUUGCCCGAGAUUCGAUCGUUGUUAUCUCUAUACCUAGUUCAAUCUCGUUACUGGCAUAUCUCUUUACUCGUUCCGUAAUACAUCAUCUUGCAAAUAACUCCUUAGUCACUUUGCUUGCAAGCUUCUUGUGAUGUGUAUUACCGAUAGUGCCCAGAGAUACCUCUCUGAUACACGGAGUGACAAAUCCCAAUCUCGAUUCACACCAACUUAACAGACACCUUCAGAGAUACCUGUAGAGCAUCUUUAUGAUCACCCAGUUACUUUGUGACCUUUGAUAGCACACAAGGUAUUCCUCCGGUUUCCAGGAGUUGCAUGAUCUCAUGGUCGAUGGAACAUGUAUUUGACAUUAAGAAAGCAGUAGCAAUAAACUGAAUGAUCAUAUGCUUUGCUAACGGUUGGGUCUUGUCCAUCACAUCAUUCUCCUAAUGAUGUAAUCCUGUUAUCAAAUGACAACUCAUGUCUAUGGUUAGGAAACCUUAACCAUCUUUGAUCAACGAGCUAGUCUAGUAGAGGCUCACUAGGGACAUGGUAUUUGUUUAUGUAUCCACACAUGUAUUUAAAUUUCCGGUCAAUACAAUUCUAGCAUGAAUAUUAAACCUUUAUCAUGAAUAAGGAAAUAUAAUAAUGACCAUUUUAUUAUUGCCUCUAGGGAAUAUUUCCAUCAUCUCCCACUUGCACUAGAGUCAAUAAUCUAGUUCACAUCGCCAUGUGAUUAACAACCAAAGAGUUCACUAGAGUCAAUAAUCUAGUUCACAUCGCCAUGUGAUUAACACCCAAAGAGUUCUAAGGUGUGAUCAUGUUUUGCUUGUGAGAGAGGUUUUUAGUCACGGGUCUACAACAUUCAGAUUUGUGUGUACUUUGCAAAUAUCUAUGUCUACAAUGCUCUGCAUAGAACUACUCUAGCUAAUUUCUCCCACAUUCAAUACGUAUCCAGAUUGAGACUCAGAGUCAUCUGGAUCAGUGUCAAAACAUGCAUCGACGUAACCCUUUACGAUGAACUCUUUAUCACCUCCAUAACAGAGAAAAAUUUCCUUAGUCCUCUUUAGGUACCUAAGGAUAAUUUUGAGCGCUGUCCAAUGAUCCACUCCUGGAUCACUAUUGUACCCCCUUGCCAGAUUCAUGGCAAGGCACACAACAGGUCUAGUACACAGCAUGGCAUACUUUAUAGAACCUACGGCUGGGGCAUAGGAAUGACUUUCAUUCUCUCACUAUCUUCUGUCGUGGUCAGGCUUUGAGUCUUGCUCAACCUCACACCUUGAAUACAGGCAAGAACCCUUUCUUUGACUGAUCCAUUUUGAACUCCUUCAAAACUUUGUCAAGGUAUGUGCUUUGUGAAAGUCCUAUUAAGCGUCUUGAUAUAUCUCUAUAGAUUUUGAUGCCCAAUAUGUAAGUCGCUUCACCGAGGUCUUUCACUGAAAAAUUCUUAUUCAAGUAUCCUUUUAUGCUAUCCAAAAAUUCUAUAUCAUUUCUAAUCAGCAAUAUGUCAUCCACAUAUGAUAUUAGAAAUGCUACAGAGCUCCCACUCACUUUCUUGUAAACUAGAUAAUACCCCGGGCGUUGCCGCGGGAAUUUUUGAAGGAUAUAAAACAUACAUGAGUAGAUCCAUCCCAACAAUUAUGUUUUCAAGUGUAACAGAUAUUAUAUUGUAUUUUAUCAUUAAAAAGAUAUUAUCAUGCACUUUUCCAAAGGUGAUAAAAUCGUAGCUACUGCCGAGGGGCAUGAAUUUUACGUUAGAGAUAACAAUACUAUCAAUUCAGCAUGUACAGUAUGAUUUCUCAUAUGGAUUUGCAUGAAUUGUACCUGUGCACCAAUCAUUAAUUAAGGUAAAUUGUGCCAAAAAAGUGCAUCACUGUACAUGAACUUCCGUAUUUUUUUAGGGAUGGUAAAAGAAUGGCCCUCUGUGGAGCAUUACAUAACUGACAAAAAAGAAUGAACAUAAUCUGCAAAAUGUAAAACAUAGGUAGAAAACUUUCUGUUCAAUUUCUGUAAGGAAGGGAAGUUGCUACUUGCAUGGUUAAAAAAAAGACAGUAAAUAAUAUUGUUUGCGAAUAGACUAUAAAUAAUUUAUUUUGGGGGCAUUCAAAGACAUAUUUAUACAACGAAUGAAGGGACAAAUAGUCUGUUACAACUAAAAAAUAAUAAUGGUUACCAAUAAUCAGUUGAACUUACCUUAUCUGUUACAUACCUCCAAAUUUCUGCAAUAAAAGACCAAGAAAACGACCCCCUGAUAUAUACAGGGUCUGGAUUGCAGACAGAGAUAGACAAAAGGUCAGCCCAAUAAUAAAUCAAAUGAAUGUCGGGACAAUGAUGAAAAGGUAUGUAUGCAUGCCUUCUUUUUGAGCUGCACGCAUGUCAUCUAUAUGGAGAAAGGGAGAAAACAAUUCGCAAGAGCACUCUUCACUUCAGGAUAGAAUUUACUUGCAUGCAGGCACGUAGAUCUAAGGGCUCACAAAGAUAGUAUGCAAAUGCUACCGUCAAAGGAUGCUGGAGCAGGAGGCGAAGGGAGAACCUGCUUGUCGCUCGGCUCCGAUCUCAAAUGCUCCUGGCUUUGAAUUCGCUCAACUUGCAUGCAAUCCGAUCUCGGCCACACACAGCUCGCCUCUUGCUCAUCUUGAUCACCGCCUUCUUCUCCUCCCACCGUCUCCACAGAAGCGGCUGCAACAUCGCUCUCCAGCCUCAACAUCGCUUGGCGGCAUGGGCGACGGCAACAUGGUGCCGAUGUUCCUGUUUGCAGCUCAGCCCCACACUGCGGCCCCUUGCUCUUCUUCGGCGACACUAUACUGCUGCUCCUAGUGCAUAUCUCGAGCGUACCAAAUAAAGAAGAAGCGGAAGUCGACUCGUCACUACAAACUGUGAAUGGGCGAAGGGGAAAAGACAACAACGCUGAGGUACACGACUUUUGGAUUGUAGAGGCAACCUUGUCUGUAUGCUCCAAUUUAAUAUAUGGAAGAUUACUGGGAGGGGAAGAGUGCUUUCUCAUGUAGGACCUACCAGAUUAAAAUCAGUAGUGGGCUAUGUCUGGUAAAAUCCAUAACUAAAGGCUGAGUGGGGAGAGGUGGGGAGAGGAAUAGUUGAUGGAUGUGUGGUCAAGUGUUGCGCGGGAUCCAUUGGGUAGAAGAGGGGCUCAACCGGUGGUAUAUACAGCUGGAUGCGGGAUGAGCUGCUGCGGGCAAGGGAAAAGACUGAUUGGCUGCUUUUGGAAAUUAAAUAGUGGCGUGGCACAUCGUUGAUGUGGACAAUGUGCAUGGUUAGAGAAUAGGGAGAAGUGGGGAGCAACUUCUUAAGAAUGGUAGAUACAGGCUUCACCAUAAGUCUGUAUAAAACCAUAUGCUUUGAUCACCUCAUCAAAGCGUAUAUUCCAACUCCGAGAUGCUUGCACCGGUCCAUAGAUUGGUCACUAGAGCUUGCACACUUUGUUAGCACCUUUAGGAUCGACAAAAACUUCCGGUUGCAUCAUAUACAACUCUUCCUCAAGAAACCCGUUAAGGAAUGCAAGUUUUUGACAUCCAUUUGCCACAUUUCAGAAUCAUAAAAUGCGGCAAUUGCUAACAUGAUUUGGACAGACUUAAGCAUCGCUACGGGUGAGAAAGUCUCAUUGUAGUCAACUCCUUGAACUUAUCGAAAACCUUUUUCAACAAGUCGAGCUUUGUAGACAGUGAUAUUACCGUCAGCGUUCGUCUUCCUCUUAAAGAUCCAUUUAUUCUUUAUGGCUUGCCGAUCAUCAAGCAAAUCCACCAAAGUCCACACUUUGUUAUCAUACAUUGAUCCUAUCUCAGAUUUCAUGGCCUCAAGCCAUUUUUCGAAAUCUGGGCUCGUCAUAGUUUCUUCAUAGUUCAUAGGUUCGCUGUUGUCGAACAACAUGACUUCCAGGACAGGAUUGCCGUACCACUCUGGUGCGGAACGUGUUCUGGUCGAACUACGAGGUUCAGUAGUAACUUGAUCUGAAGUUUCAUGAUCAUCAUCAUUUGCUUCCUCUCUGGUUGGUGUAGGCAUCACGGGAACGACUUUCUCCUAUGUACUACUUUCCAAUUCGAGAGAAGGUACAACUACCUCAUCAAGUUCUACCACCGGUGCGCGUCGGUCCUAAACAAACGGUUUUUUACCCCUUUCCGCGACGGCAUUUGGAACCGUCGCCAAGUGAGUGUGGGUGAUAGGGGGGUCCUUCCCACACGACCCAGAAACCGUCGGGGAUAGGGAGCCUUGAUGCAUACAGUUGUCCCUAUAUAACCGUUCCCGAUAUCUCGAAUAUCCCAAACACUUCAUCCUUGCUACUCUUUGUGCUCGCAUUGCCAUCACAGUCGGAGUUUUGUGGUUCUGCCUAAAACCAGGCAGAUUCCAGGCACGGGAGUUUCCCAGGCAGAUUCUAGGCACGUGAGUUUUACGAUGCUUGGCACAUCACAAACAGUUCAUGAUUAUAAACCGUGUACGAUGGGUAGACAAUCACACACAUUUAGUUUUCCCGCACCGUAUGUGAUAGUGUCUGACAUCACACAUGCUUUGCAAAUGGCAACUGUGUGCAUGCUUGCACAUGUUUCCUCUCUAUGAACCGUCUCGGAUUAUGGUGUAUAUCGCAAACGUUUGUGUUUUAGCAACCGUGUGUGCCGUAAUGACCUGCACAACGUAAUUUCGCCCUAAUUUAAUUGCUGCUAUUUAAAAUUGUACCUAAUUUAAACUUGAAAGUAGGCUAUAGCUUUAUUCAUAUCCAUCAGGUUCAAACAACCAAUGCAUUAUUCGAUUCACAGGUACAUAUGUUUAAGAAUUACAUAAGCACCAAAUAAAGAAUGAUGUACGAGGGUUCUAUACUUGUACUAUUACAGAUGGUAAAGAAAGAGGCGACAGACAUUCCAGUUGCUGAACAAGGUGAAGCGGAAUGGCCCUAUUGUGCUCUCCUGGAUGCAGAAGGCAUGCAGGACUCUAGUCCAACCCCUUGUGAUGGCCGGCCACCAAUCAUGUAGUUUGAGAUGUAAUCUUGAGGAAACUGCUUCAGGAUCCACUGCAAAAGAAAAAAGAUUCAGGUAUUGUCAUCUAACACAACUCAUUACGGGUAGUAAAAAGAAGGCUACAGGGUUCUUACUUACCAUCCUGCAGUUCACUGUUGUCUUGCAUAAAGUGUAAACAAAAAGUUUGAUUGACAUCUUUUGACCCAUUUUAGUAACAAUCUUUAUCAGUUUCCUCACUUGAUGCUGGUUCAUGAAUAUCUCAUUGCCCCAUACGCAGAAAGGGUCGAAGUGUGGAUCGUUGGCAAUGAUAUAUGUACCUAAAAGCACCAAGUUAAUAUUAGAAGCUAAACAACAAUUGAAAACUGAUGUAGUACAACACUCCAUCCAUCCCAUUAUAUAAGAUUUUAUUACAUGUAUAUCUAGACAUCAUCAGAACAUUAAGCUAACACUCUUCCUUGUUGCUAUGUAGCUUGGGAUUGCAUAUUUAGUCAUUCAGUACAAUGCAUGUUGCUAAACAACAAUUGAAAAAUGAAAGGGCAUGUUAACUGCAAUAUCCUUAAUAGCAAUCAAAUAUCGUAAUUCAUAGUGGUAUUGUUGAAACUGUUAUUGAUGAAAUUGAACUGCACGGCAAAUAGUUUCACAUAUAGAGCAUCACAUUGUGAAGAACUGAAAUAAACAAGUCAUAAGGACAUCUCUAGGUGAUCCUUAAAAAGUUAAAGGACUAAAACCCUUAGUGGAUAUAUAUAUACUCCAACAAUUUUUGGCCUUUUAUAGUCGAUCCCCUAAACUUAAGGUUGUAAACUUGAAUUUGAUCAAGUUCAAAGCAGGUUCAACCGAAAGUAGCAUGCAUUCAAACAUAAACAUAGAUAGUUUUGCAUAACCGAACAUAAAACAUAAAUUUAAACAAAGUUGAACUACUUUCGGUCGAAGUAGUGGUCGAGCCAAUCCUUCCUCGUCAUGUACGGUGUGCCGCAAGCCGGGUCCGGGCCAGUACCGUCGUCGGGAUAAUUGGGGAAGGCACCCCUCCACUCGUAGACGUCGAUCUCCUCGUCCUCGGGGCCCACCUCGACGCCCUCCGCACCGCCAUCGCCGCCGCCUUCGACCUCGUCAUCAGAGGAGAGCGCGAUAACCUCGCCGCCCUCGGCACGCCGUCCUCGCCGCCUUCGACCUCAUCAUCGGAGGAGAGUGCGACAACCUCGCCACCCUUCGCGCCGGCAAAGAUCGCCCGCCGCCUCCACGAGCUCCGGGUGCUGCCGGCGGAGCUCUUGCAUGUAGGCCUCGUCGGCGGCCUCGGCCUUGAGGUGCUCCCACGCCUCGCGGUCCUCCCGCGCCAUAGCCGAGCUCACUACCCUGGCUCCGGCGGAAUGAGGUGGGCCGGACGUGUGCCGAAGGGGAAAUUGAGCCUAGCCGCCGCACCAUGGUAGCGGACCUGCCAGCGGUCAUACUCCAUGGCCGCGAGCUCGGCCGUGUGGAAGCUACCGAGCCACCGGCGGGUGUGGGUCUCUCGAUCUGGAAUCUCGGCGACCCACGUCCCCCACCGCCGCUGCCGGACCCCAUGGUAGGACUUCGUCGGCUGCCGGGUCCGAGGGAGGACGGGGAAGUCCUCGAACCAGCGUAGGGGCGCGGCGGCGGGCGGAUCGGGGGACCGGCGACGGCGGAUCGGGCCCGCGGAGGACGACGGGGACACCUCGGCGGCCACCUCGCCGGCGUCGGGCGAAAAAGGCCGCGAUAAACCUCUUUUUGGCCAUUGGCUCCUCGAGCUCCCCGGCACAUGGGAAGAGGUUGAGGAUAGCGGCGCCGACGAUGGCGAUGACCUACCAAUGGUUUCGAGGGUUGUGUGUGUCUGUGUGAGCGAAGGUUUUGGGGUGUGUGUGUGGAGGGGGGAGCAAGGUUGUGUUUGAGGAAAUACUGCGGCAACUGAAAAUUUUACUAGGCAGGAGUAACAAGGCGGGGCUACUGAAAAUUUGGAUCAAGGGCGAGCAGAUAUUUUUGAGAUUGCGAGGGAUGCAGAGGCGGGAGUAAAAUGCCGGGGCUACUGAAAAUUUGAAUCAAGGGACUGAAGCAGAGCGGGAGUAACAGACAUCGCACACAGUCCGCACAUACUAAUCGUGUGCUACCAAACAUUAAAACCUUCCAGGCGGUAGAUAUUUUUGAGAUUGCGAGGGAUGCAGAGACGGGAGUUUUUGGGGAGUGAGCUAGUGUGCUUGACACGCCGGCCGUGGACUGUAGCCGACACACCUUCUCGCGUAAGCCAUAGGUGUACUAUACACCGACGGUGCUCCAAGAUAUUUUGUACUACAUCUCACACGAUUGGUGAUAAUAAACUGUGUGGGAUCUACUUGAUUUGAAUUACAAAAUGGGGUCACAGCGGCAAUGGACGUUGUUUGAAUUGCUAGACCUUUUAUCCGCAGUGAACAUGCAACUAUAUGUGUGUCGUAAAAGAAUUGGAAUUAUUCAGGAUUCGUUUGGACAUUUUAUACAAUAAACUGGUUUUCUAGCCAUUUCACGUGCACAAUUUAAAAUUAAACUAUAUGCACAUGCUCCGGUGCAUACAAAUUGGUUGAAAAAUCAAAUUUGUGUCCUUCGGACAAUGCUUAGGUCCCAUGGAAGAAAUGGGAAUGAAUUUUUCGGGGUUCGUUUGGCCUUUUUAUACAUUAACUAGGUUUUCUAGGCAUUUUAUGUGCAUAAUUCAAAUUUGAACUACAACCACAUGCUCCAAUGCACCAAAGUUGGUUGAAAAAUCACAUGUGUGUCCUUGGGUGAAUUUCUAGGUCCCAUGCAAGAGAUGGGAAUGAAUUUCAAAUACCAGGGCACUGUUGAUUGCCAACAAAAUGUUGAGAUACCUGGUUUUUAAAUUCUAGUAAAUCCAAAACUCAUCUGAAAUUCAUGAAACUUGGCAUGCUAUGAUGGAGCGGCAUCAACAUGCCGUGGUGAAAAUUUUGUCCCAUUUGGGGCAGGUUUGGGUAUAAGCUUCUCACAAACCAGAGCUUCUCACAACAAGCAUGAUGCUUUCGAUAGGGAACGUACCACCUUUGGGGACGGGACGAUAUUAGUUGCCUCUUAUUGCUUUCAAAAAAAUUCUAGUGUCAACAUAGAACAACAGGAGUGUUGUGUUUAAUCUUGGAAUUUUUCGGGGUUCGUUUGGCCUUUUUUAUAUAUUAACUGGGUUUUGUAGGCAUUUUAUGUGCAUAAUUCAAAUUUAAACUACAAGCACAUGCUCCAAUGCAGUAAAGUUGGUUGAAAAAUCGCAUGUGUGUCCUUGGGUGAAUUUCUAGGUCCCAUGCAAGAGAUUGGAAUGAAAUUCAAACACCAGGGCCCUGCUGAUUGCUGGCAAAAUGUUGAGAUGCCUGGUUUUUAAAUUCUAGUAAAUCCAAAACUCGUCUGAAAUUCAUGAAACUUGGCAUGCUAUCAUGGAGCGCCAUCAACAUGUCGUUGUAAAAAAUUUGUCCCAUUUGGGGCAUGUUCGGGUAUAUGCUUAUGACAAACCAGAGCUUCUCACAACAAGCAUGAUGGUUUCGAUAGGGAACGUCCCACCUAUGGGAACGAAACGAUAUCCAUUGCCUCUUAUUGCUUUCAAUUUUUUUCAAGUGUCAACAUAGAACAACAGGAGUGUUGUGUCAAUUUUUGGGAUUUUUCGGGGUUCGUUUGGACAUUUAUAUGCAUUAACUGAGUUUUCAAUGCAUUUAUGUGCAUAAUUCAAAUUUGAACUACAUGCACAUGCUCCGGUGCAUAUAAAUUAGUUGAAAAAUCAAAUAUGUGUCCUUGGCUGCAUGCUUAGGUCCCAUGCAAGAAAUGGGAAUGAAUUUCAAACACCAGGGCACCGUUGAUUGCCAGCAAUACAUUGAGAUGCCUGGUUUUUAAAUUCUAGUAAAUCCAAAACUCGUCUGAAAAUCAUGAAACUUGGCAUGCUAUCAGGGAGCGGCAUAAACAUGUCGUGGUAAAAAUUGUCCCAUUUGGGGCAGCUUUGGGUAUAUGCUUCUCACAAACCAGAGCUUCUCACAACUAGCCUGAUGGUUUCGGUAGGGAACGUACGUCCCACCUUUGGGGACGAAACGAUAUCCAUUGCCUCAUAUUGCUUUCAAAAAGUUUCUCGUGUCAACAUAGAACAGCAGGAGUGUUGUGUCAAUUUUUGGGAUUUUUUGGGAUUCGUUUGGACAUUUUUAUGCAUUAACUGAGUUUUCUAGGCAUUUUAUGUGCAUAAUUCAAAAUUGAACUACAUGCACAUGCUCCGGUGCAUAUAAAUUGGCUGAAAAAUCACAUGUGUGUCCUUGGGUGCAUGCUUAGGUCCCAUGCAAGAGACGUGAAUGAAUUUCAAACACCGGGGCACUGUUGAUUGCCGGCAAAACGUUGAGAUACCUGGUUUUUAAAUUCUGGUAAAUCCAAAACUCGUCUGAAACUCAUGCAACUUGGCAUGCUAUCAUGGAGCGGCAUCAACAUGCCGUGGUGAAAAUUUUGUCCCCUUUGGGACAGGUUUGGGUAUAAGCUUCUCAUAAACCAGAGCUUCUCACAACAAGCAUGAUGGUUUCGAUAGGGAACGUACCACCUUUGGGGACGGGACGAUAUCCGUUGCCUCUUAUUGCUUUCAAAAAAAUUCUAGUGUCAACAUCGAACAACAGGAGUGUUGUGUUUAAUCUUGGAAUUUUUCGGGGUUCGUUUGGCCUUUUUUUAUAUAUUAACUGGGUUUUGUAGGCAUUUUAUGUGCAUAAUUCAAAUUUGAACUCCAAGCACAUGCUCCAAUGCACCAAAGUUGGUUGAAAAAUCACAUGUGUGUCCUUGGGUGAAUUUCUAGGUCCCAUGCAAGAGAUUGGAACGAAAUUCAAACACUAAGGCACUGUUGAUAGCCGGCAAAACAUUGAGAUGUCUGGUUUUUAAAUUCUAGUAAAUCCAAAACUCGUCUAAAAUUCAUGAAACUUGGCAUGCUAUCAUGGAGCGGCAUCAACAUGCCGUGGUAAAAAAAUUGUCCCAUUUGGGGCAGGUUCGGGUAUAUGCUUCUCACAAACCAGAGCUUCUCACAACAAGCAUGAUGUUUCGAUAGGGGACGUCCCACCUUUGGGGACGAAACGAUAUCCAUUGCCUCUUAUUGCUUUAAUUUUUUUUCUCGUGUCAACAUAGAACAACAUGAGUGUUGUGUCAAUUUUUUGGGAUUUUUCGGGGUUCGUUUGGACAUUUUUAUGCAUUAACUGAGUUUUCAAUGCAUUUAUGUGCAUAAUUCAAAUUUGAACUACAAGCACAUGCUCCAAUGCACUAAAGUUGGUUGAAAAAUCGAAUCGGUGUCCUUGGGUGAAUUUCUAGGUCCCAUGCAAGAGAUGAGAAUGAAAUUCAAACACGAGGGCAUUGUUGAUUGCCGGCAAAACAUUGAGAUGACUGGUUUUUAAAUUCUAGUAAAUCCAUAACUUGUCUGAAAUUCAUGAAACUUGGCAUGCUAUCAUGGAGCGGCAUCAACAUGCCAUGGUAAAAAAAUUGUCCCAUUCGGGGCAGGUUCGGGUAUACGCUUCUCACAAACUAGAGCUUCUCACAACUAGCAUGAUGGUUUCGGUAGGGAACGUCCCACCUUUGGGUAUUGCUUUCAUAAAUUUUCUCAUGUCAAGAUAGAACAACAGGAGUGUUGUGUCAAUUUUUGGGAUUUUUCGCGGUUCGUUUGGAUAUUUUUAUGCAUUAACUGAGUUUUCAAUGCAUUUAUGUGCAUAACUAAAAUUUGAACUACAUGCACAUGCUCCAGUGCAUAUAAAUUGGUUGAAAAAUCAAAUAUGUGUCCUUGGGUGCAUGCUUAGGUCCCAUGCAAGAAAUGGGAAUGAAUUUCAAACACCGGGGCACCGUUGAUUGCCGGCAAAACAUUGAGAUGCCUGGUUUUUAAAUUCUAGUAAAUCCAAAACUCGUCUGAAAUUCAUGAAACUUGGCAUGCUAUCAUGGAAUGGCACCCAACAUGUUGUGGCAUUUUUCGUGUCCAUUUUGAGAGAAGGCGCACUCGAAUAAUGACAGCCAACAAAGGCAUUUUGAAAAAAUAGUGCCACUUUAAUAUCUCAAACGUUUGUAGAAUUCAAACCGUGUGCGUUCUUUUAACCAUUCACGUGACGCCACGUGUCUUGGUUUUAAUGGUUGUAGUAGGUGCCAUGCGGAUAGCUGCUUGACCUUGACUGAACGGGAGGCGUGCGAGCGCAGUUCGGUGCGUAGGCUGACCGAGAGGCGUGCAAGCUGUCCUCCAAUGCGUAGGCUCAUCGGGAAGCGUGCGAGCUGUACGCUGCGUAGGCUCACUGGGAAGCGAGCCCUUUGACUUCCAUGGCCGCCCGCCUUCCUCUCCAUUAAUGGCGCCCGAGCCGCUGUUUAAUACGGGCGGUCUUACUGUUCGCCUUCCAUUCCCCUCCCUCCCGCAGUCGCAGACCUCCACCAACGCCAUGCCGCAGAAUGAUCAUCUAUCACUAGUCUUCAAGUUUGGUGAAGUCGACUCCGAGCCGGAGGAGAUAGAAAAUAAGGAGGAAUGGGGCCUCAUGGACAUGGCCCAGAACGAGCUGGCCGCGGCGGUUGCUGCCCCCGCUCCCAUCCCCGCGCCCGCGCCAGCGACCAUCCCCGUAGCAUUGACGGGCUGGUCGCCGAGCACUAUCGCAGAGCUGGAAGCCGCGGCUGUCAGCGAGGUCUCCGCGGACCCGCGCGAGCUCGUGUACAUGCCAGCGCCCGUGCCCGUGCGUGCCCCUCCACCCACCGUGGCGCCGGCCCCCGUGCGUUUCGCUGCACCCGCCGCUCCCGUGCCCGUGCCCGUGCGCGCGCCCCCCUCAGCGGCAUGGGACGCUGCCGUCGACCGCUACCUCUCAGCGGCGCCAGUUGCCAUCCUCCCGCGCCCCGCCCGUCGAUCGCGCGACGACAUGAUGUUUGAUUUACAAGUGAAUAACAUUUUGUGCUGCCUUGAAGACUUCAACAACGGCGUCCCUGAGGACGACAAGGACAACGAUGGCGCGCCACGCCGCCUCCGCCGCCGCCGGAAAUAGUUUUUUUGGGGUUUAAUACUGUAUCUCGAAUUCUCGAUCAUAUGAAUAUAAAUUCGCAGUGUGACUGAAUGAAAGAUAUGGUUUGAAUGAAUUUGCGUUUUUCUCUCUUAAUGUACAGACUUAUCAAAUGAUUUUCUUUUGAAAAAAACGUCAAUGGUUUUUAAAUAUAAAACACUCAUCGCAAACAUUUUAGUUAGAACACCCAGAUACAAACUAACAACUUCCCCAGGAAGCCAAGGGAAAAUGUGCCGAGCAGGAUUUCUGCAUCCCUUCAACGCAAACGGUUGUUUUGCAUGACCCAUGUGCAACCACGUACAAACAAUUGGGUAAGAUUUGCAUAUCUGUCAUUUUGGGUAUGUUUCCAUUUGUCAAACUUGAAAGAUUGACAUUUGUUUAUCUAGUAACAUUGCCAUUUGUCAACCUUGUAACACUGCGAUUUGUCAAAAUAUGCAGCUAAAAAUCACUAGCACUAUCUAAUUUUUGCAACUAAAAUCACUAGCAUUGUUCAUAUGGACACCACUAGCAGGCGUGAGUUGAUGGACGCAUAUGCAAAUGUACCAUUGAUUACAUACAACAAGUCAUCAGCCCACAACGACAACGAGGAUACACGUUGGAUUAUAGAUCAUUUCCAACAAAACAUUCUAGUAAAGUUUUUCUCACACAACAAAUAACAAAGCAAUGAAAUGAACUUUAGCUCAACCACUCGUCGGCGUUGGAAACGCUUGCUUUGAACCAGAAGUGAUUCUCUGGGAAGGGCCAGCUACUGUCAAUCUCGAGACCAACACAGGACUGAUCAUCCAGGCUGAAGCGGCCUAUGUCAGGACCCAUAUUGGGACGGCAGGGAAGCAUAGCAAUUUCCGAGGUAUAGAUACAGUUGCUUCUCAUAAAUGGUAGUAACGUUGUGUCAACAGCAGCUGGAUCGCCUUCCACCAUCAUUGGAUAGUUUUGUCCAAGGAAGAGUGAGUUUUCUCCAAGACUUUCAAUACUGAACCAGGGAGAAGGUGUUGGUGCUAGUACACUAGUAUCCAUCCUGAAUACCCUGCAACGGAUGUUGGAAUAGGUCCAGAGACUGCGACCAUGCGAGACAACACCUGCUUCCUUAGUAACAUCAGCAGUGCCCUGUAUACAGACAAGAAGAAGAGGUGAUCCAUUGGAAUAAGUUGACAGACGCCACUGAGUAUAUGGGUCCAGCUCGUCCUCAUGCUCAUGAUCAUCAGCAUCGUCAUCUCCCCCUUGGUUAUAAAAAUUUAGAAGUAUAGGUAGUGGAAUGUUCACAGGACCUUGGAAACACAAAAAGGUUAAUUAAUUAGUAAAGGGAAACUGGCUAACCCGCAUGCAUGUGGAUGAAUCAAUUAUAGUUACGGUGGAAGACAAACAUACCGAAAGCAUGAUGAUUCCAUGCAAAAACAGUGCCACGAGUGGUGGCAGCAAACACAAGACCCUCGUAUUGAAUUGCAUCACAGUACUCAUCCGUGUACAACAAUUUAUUUUUGAGCAAUAUCCAUCGAGGUGUGGAAGUAAGGAAGGCAACAAGCUUGUCGAAGAUAGCAAUAACUUCAUAGUUCGAGUAAUCCCAAUAGUGGCCGCGAACUCGACAAAUUGCUAUCUUCCAUAGACGACAGUCACCAUGAUCGUAUUUGAACUCACAUAGAAUACCGGUGUACUCAACCUCUGGGCAGUCGUCUGAGAUUUUUGGAAGUGGAACCCGGUGACGAGUGUACACAUUCACAAGUUCCCACUCGCAGUUGUACCCAAUGUAAACAAACCAAUCUCCAUUUGCGCCUGCCCAAGCCUUGCCCUCAAGCGAUGGCAUCUUAACAUCAUACGUAUCAUUAUCAAGCGGCAUCAACUUGCACAAGGCGAGGCUUCCCUCGUCCACGCGCCAGUCAGCAGGGUCACGGCGAAGAAUAUAGGGGAGAUCAAACCACUCCUAGACCCUUGAGUUCCUUGUAAUGAUGUUAUUAGUUGAGUCGAGAAUGGUCUUGAACGAACCUGCCAUGCUAGCCGAGGUGAUGAUGUCGCACCGAUCAAUGAGUUCCUCUACCGCGUCAUCAUUCAGAUCGGGGCAAGAAUAACGGGGUCAUUUUCGGCUUGUUCCCUCCAUGGAGAAGAUGAUCGAACAAUGGCAGAAGGAAGGGUGAAGGCGAAUGGAGGAGGGAGGAAGAGCGUGCGACAACAGUUCCAAAUCGAGAGGGAAAGGGAAGAGGCGGUGGACGGUUGCCACGGUACACGAAGAGGCGCCUGGGGAGCGAACGGUUGCCACAGAGGUCACACACUGACGACAAGGGCCGAGUGAACCGCAUGCGUAUAUCGCACACACCUUGAUCUGCUUGACCAUUUCUUUUGUGUUGCCUAAUCACAAACAGUUCAUCCGAGUGAAGCGUAUGUUGUAUAUCGCACACACCUUCAUCUGGCUGACCGUUUCUUUUGUGUUGCCUAAUCACAAACAGUUCAUCCGAGUGAACUAUAUGUUGUGUAUCGCACACGCCUUCAUCUGGCUGUCCGUUUCUUUUGUUCCUCCUCAUGCAAACAGUUAAUUGAACUGAACGGUAUGCCCUUCAUCGCACACGCACCUGAACCGUGUUUGAUGCAUCCAUCAUCGCAAACGUUUUAUACAUUUCUGGCGGUUUUCAUACAGCAUCAUUUGCGAUUAUUGCAUCGCACACACUUUCUCGAAGGGUCUCUGAUCGUAGCAUCGCGUUAGCAGCAUUCUGCAGUAGUGUACUUUCCUCCCACUCACUUCUUUCGAGAGAAACUCCUUCUCUAGAAAGGACCCAUUCUUAGAAACAAAGAUUUUGCCUUCGGAUCUAUGGUAGAAGGUAUACCCAAUAGUUUCUUUCGGGUAUCCUAUGAAGACACACUUCUCCGCUUUGGGUUCGAGCUUAUUAGGCUGAAGCCUUUUGACAUAAGCGUCGCAUCCCCAAACUCUUAAGAAAUGACAACUUAGGUUUCUUGCCAAACCACAAUUCAUACGGUGUCAUCUCAACGGAUUUAGACGGUGCCCUAUUUAAAGUGAAUGCGGCUGUCUCUAAUGCAUAACCCCAAAACGAUAGUGGCAAACAGUAAGAGACAUCAUAGAACGCACCAUAUCUAAUAAAGUACAGUUACGAUGUUCGGACACACCAUUACGCUGUGGUGUUCCAGGUGGCGUGAGUUGUGAAACUAUUCCACAUUGUUUUAAAUGAAGACCAAACUCGUAACUCAAAUAUUCACCUCCGCGGUCAGAUCGUAGAAACUUUAUUUUCUUGUUACGAUGAUUCUCCACUUCACUCUAAAAUCUAUGAACUUUUCAAAUGUUUCAGACUUGUGUUUCACAAGUAGAUAUAACCAUACCUACUCAAAUCAUCCGUGAAGGUGAGAAAAUAACGAUACCCGACGCGUGCUUCAACACUCAUUGGACUGCAUACAUCGGUAUGUAUUAUUUCCAAUAAGUCAUUAGCUCGUUCCAUUGUUCCGGAGAAUGGAGUUUUAGUCAUCUUGCCCAUGAGGCAUGGUUCGCAAGUAUCAAAUGAUUCAUAAUCAAGUGAUUCCAAAAGUCCAUCCGCAUGGAGUUUCUUCAUGCACUUUACACCAAUAUGACCUAAACAACAGUGCCACAAGUAUGUUGCACUAUCAUUGUCAACUUUGUAUCGUUUGGCAUCAAUAUUAUGAAUAUGUGUAUCACUGCGAUCGAGAUUCAAUAAACCAUUUACAUAUAAGGUUUUAUUCGUGUAAACAGAACAACAAUUAUUCUCUGACUUAAAUGAAUAAUUGUAUUGCAAUAAACACGAUCUAAUCAUGUUCAUGCUCAACACAAACACCAAAUAAUAUUUAUUUAGGCUCAACACUAAUCCCGAAGGUAGAGGGAGUGUGUGAUGGUGAUCAUAUCAAUCUUCGAAACACUUCCAACACACAUCGUUAUCUCGCCCUCAACUAGUCUCCGUUUAUUCUGCAACUCCUAUUUCGAGUUACUAAUCUCAGCAACUGAACCGGUAUCAAAUACUCAGGGGCUACUACGAGCACUAGUAAGGUGCACAUCAAUAACAUGUAUAUCAAAUAUACCUUUGUUUACUUUGCCAUCCUUCCUAUCUGCCAAGUAUUUGGGGCAGUUCCGCUUCCAGUGCCCAUUUCCUUUGCAGUAGAAGCACUCAGUUUCAGGCUUGGGUCCAGCUUUGGGCUUCUUCACGGGAGCGACAACUUGCUUGUUGUUCUUCUUGAAGUUCCCUUUCUUUCCCUUGCCCUUUUUCUUAAAACUGGUGGUCUUGUUAACCAUCAACACUUGAUGUUCUUUCUUGAUUUCUACCUCCGCCGAUUUCAGCAUCGCGAAGAGCUUGGGAAUCAUUUUCGUCACCCCUUGCAUAUUAUAGUUCAUCACAAAGCUCUAGUAGCUUGGUGAAAGUGACUGGAGAACUCUGUCAAUCACUAUCUUAUCUGGAAGAUUAAAUCCCACUUGAUUCAAGCGAUUGUAGUACCCAGACAUUCUGAGCACAUGCUCACUGGCUGAGCUAUUCUCCUCCAUCUUGUAGGCAAAGUACUUGUCAGAGGUCUCAUACGUCUCAACAAGAGCAUGAGCCUGAAAUACCAAUUUCAGCUCUUGGAACAUCUCAUAUGUUCCAUGGUGUUCAAAACGUAUUUGGAGCCCCGAUUCUAAGCCGUAAAGCAUGACACACUAAACUAUCAAGUAGUCAUCAGAUCGAGCUUGUUAAAUCUGCAUCACUUCCUGCAGCAGGUCUGUCACCUAGCGCUGCAUCAAGGACAUAAUUCUUCUAUGAAGCAAUGAGGAUAAUCCUCAUAUCACGGACCUAGUCCGCAUUAUUGCUACCAUCAUCUUUUAACUUAGUUUUCUCUAGGAACGUAUCACAAAAAAUGUGGAAGCUACAUCGCGAGCUAUUGAACUACAACAUAAUUUGCAAAGACAUUUUGACUAUGUUCAUGAUAAAUCUCAGUUCAAUUAAUCAAAUUACUAAUGAACUCCCACUUAAAUCAACAUCCCUCAAGUUGUCUAAGUGAUACAUGAUCCAAAUCAACUAAACCAUGUCCGAUCAUCACGUGAGAUGGAAUGGUCUUCAAUGGUGAACAUCUUUAUGUUGAUUAUAUCUACUAUAGGACUCAUGCUCGACCUUUCGGUCUCUAGUGUUCCGAGACCAUGUUUGUACAUGCUAGGCUCGUCAAGUUUAACCCAUGUAUUCUACGUGUGAAAAACUAGCUUACACCCGUUGUUUGUGAACGUAGAGUCUAUCACACCCGAUCAUAACGUGGUGCUUUAAAACGACGAACUUUGACAACGGUGCAUACUCAGGGAGAACACUUUUACCUUGAAAUUAAGUGAAGGGAUCAUCUUAUAAUGCUACCUCAUUCUAAGCAAAAUAAGAUGCAUAAAUGAUAAACAUCACAUGCAAUCAAAAUAUGUGGCAUGAUAUGGCCAUCAUCAUCUUGUGCUUUUGAUCUCCAUCUCCAAAGCAUCGUCAUAAUCUCCAUCAUCACCGGCUCGACACCUUGAUCUCCAUCGUUGCGUCAUGGUCAUCUCGCCAACUAUUGCUUCUACAACUAUUGCUAACGCAUAGUGAUAAAGUAAAGCAAUUACAUGGCGUUUGCAUUUCAUACAAUAAAGAGACAACUAUAAGGCUCUUGCCAGUUACCUUGAAAUUGAAAGCUUUGAAUUCUUAUCAUUCUGAUGCAGAGGCUGGGGCGAACCCCCCUUUUUGAAUUUUUUUACUAGAUUAAGUUUAGUAAAAAAAAUCAUGUUACAUUAUAGUUUUAAACCUUGUUCUGUUGUCUAUCUUUCUAUUUUCUAAAUCCUAUAAUUUAGGACGCCGAUAACGCCCACACGUGUGGCAUACUAGACAUCCGCCCACACAUCGUGUGUGGCAUGGGCAGGAGGCAGCCCACACGGGCUGUGUGUGGGCGAAUAUUAGAAUUGCCCACACGUGUGGGCGCAGCUACUUCGUGCCACAUGCCCAACAAGUACUACUCGUCUUCACCCCGCGCGUGUGGCACGAAGCAAAAAUGCCCACACGUCCUGGCGCAGCUACAUUAGGUACCCGCGGGAUGACGAGUUAGUUGCCAUCCAGGAUGGCAGAUGUAGUUAUUCGGGAUAGCAAAUGUAGUUGUAAAAGCAUGACAACUCUAUCUGUUUUGGUUAACUAUAGUUGCCAACGUCUAAUUUAUGGUAGUUGCCGCGUGUAAUCAAACCAUGGUUGCCGUGUGUGAUUAACUACUUGCCACAUGUGGUCAAACAGUAGUUGCCAUGUGUGUUUACCUAGUUGCCACAUGUGGUCCAACCAUAGUUGCCAUGUAUGGUUAAUUACAGUUGCCAUGUGUGUUUAUCUGGUUGCCACGUACGCACAACUGCAGUUGCCGUCUAGCAACGAAUCAUAAUUGCCAUGUGUGUUACCUAGUUGCCACGUACACGUAACUGCAGUUGCCAUCCAACAACAUACGAGUGUCAUGUGGGCGAAAAGCAGUUCGCCCACACGCGCGUGGACUAGGUGGUGGCUGUGUGAGCAGAAACUAGUUCGCCCACACAGCGCAGCCAGCAAAUCGCGUGCUGCGAGGCGUGUGGGCGAACUCUCCAACGCCCACACACCAGCCCCGUCCUACGUGCCACCCAAAUUCUGCCUCAAUUUGUCAAGAUUUGUGCAAACUCAACUGGACGGUGAUCCACAUAUGUGGCCGAGUUACAAAACUGCCACACGUGUGGACGUUAGCAUUUGGGAGAAUUUAAAGGCUAUAAAAAUCAUGUUCUUUUAAGUUUUUUACUCUUUCUUGUAACUCUCAAUCUAUUUUCUAUUUUUCUUCAAAUUAGUUGUGUUAAAAAAAUGGUUUUCCUGGCCUUCUAUCCCCCUAGUUUUUUGAGUAAAUUUCUUCAGGUGGCGCUUCCACUCUACUCCAUUGAAGGCUACACGAAGAGCGAGCAACUGAGAGGAUGCACCACCGGAGCACCUUGUUUUUCUUCCCCACGUGUUGGUUGGUAUCUACGCAUUUCGGAUUCCUUCCUUCACCGUUGUGUGCUGCUGAUGCUUUCCACACUCAAAACGGCGAGGUGCACAACACAUCCAGCUCAUCGACAUCAUGCCACACAUAUCCUGGUCGAAAAUCGGCCUGUCGGCAGCGAAUCCGCGCAUCCAGUGCUCGCACCUCUGGGUUUCCGCCGUCUCCUGUCAAAGAAAGCAGCUUGUCGUGUUUUUUUUAACAUCGCAAUUGCUCAUAUAUACGCGCAUACGCUCACCCCUAUAAACGCACACACGCACGAUUGAGCCGGCAUAUCAUCUUGAGAUUUACAAAAUCAUCGUAGGUGCCUCGUGUCAACGGAAACGUCUCUUCCCAUUGAAAACGUAUCGCCGAAAAUCCUUAAAUAAAUCCAGGAAUAAUGCGAGCACGAAGACUUGUAACCUGAUUGGCUGAAGAUACCACUAUCCCUCUAACCAUCGAACCACAGGUAGUUCGCGUUAACCACCACCCUCUCAUGAGCGAGAGUUUUGACUGCCAAAAAUUUAAUCCCACGUGGAUUACCAAUGUGAGCGUAAAAGACCCACCUUUUAUUAUUAACCCGAAAACAAAUGUAACUUGGGUCCACUUUACGCAACAUAUUUAGCUGCUGCUGGUCUGGUAGAGUCUCUUUCUCAUGAUCAAGCAUGUGGACUUUGAGAUCGGACGGCUCAGUCAAAUUCCCACCCUUUUAGAACACAUGUCAAAUUCUCAAGGGCAUGUACCACUUGCAUUCUUCGCGGUGGUUAGGGCGGAGCGCACCGGCACUAUCAUCAGCGAGCGGUUAGCUAGCCCUCGCCCUUUUUAUUGCUUUGAUUUGAGUAGGUCUUGUCCCUAUAAAACAAGGAAAGAUUCCAUGGUUUGAGUAAGGGGAAACGACGUGCGUCUAGUACCAAGCAGCAAAUAAUUCAACUGAAAGCUAGCGGCAUCUCCGGGAGUUUGAUAUGUUACUUUCUUUCUUUCUUUGCCUUUUUAACUUUAUUGAUUGAUGGCUGAUCACGCAGUUUAAGCUGGCGAACUCUCUUUUUUUUAGAAGGAUCAGAUCUAUUAUAAAGAUUUACUGGAAGUAUAAAACACCUCAAUCAUAAUGAAAACUACAUCGAGGUCCACGGACCACCGAACGAUCACUGCCGCCGCCAGAACAAGCCACCGACGCGUUGCUAUCGCCGCUCUCGUACCGGAGCCGGCCUAACCUUGUCGAUGACAGACGGGAAGUCUUCUUACACGUGCUCCUAAGGACCAACGCCCUGGAGCCGCAGUCAUCGCCGUUGAAUCCUUGAAUUGAUCUGAAGAACCUGACACCAAAUAUCACCGUUGUACGCACGACGAGAAAUCCUAACCUCGUCGCCCCGAGGAGCUGGCAGGAAUCUACGCUGGAGCUCUGUGAACUCAUCAACGGAAGAUUCUGAAUCGAGGAGGCAUUUCAUUUUAACUACGUCCGUUGACUUUGAUACUUCAACCCCACACGGUUUUUAUCCCCCCUCAUGUGUCAACAUUGUGCUCAAGAAAACUGCAUCAACUGCAUCUUUUUGUGAUGGUAGUUCACCCAAUGGACCCAUUAAUUUGAGAAUUAACGGAAAGAAGUCUGUCUCCCGGGCCGGUGACGGGAGCAGUUCACACCGAUUGGAGCGUACUGUACUAAAAAACUGAGUAGUUUUCUCGAAAAAGGAAAAAAGCUGAUUAGUUUAGUUGACCCUGUUGAUACACCGGGAUUUGGUCUUGCAUACAUAUCCUCCCCUUUUGAUACCAAAGUAUUCCAAAGUAAUACAGCAAGUUGGAUCGGGUGACAUUUUGACACACAUUCCUGAAUGUAUGCUCCUACCUGCUCCGGGACACGAACACAAGCCAUCUUCUGCUCCUCGUUAGUUGAGAGGUCGCUUGAUCUUCCCUUUUCACGAAACGAGAUUGCUUGAUCUUGCCAAAGUGCCAUCGUUUUCACUGCCCUUGGUGUUGAUCGUCUCUUCUCCGGCCCCGUCCGUGUCGCGGUGACAGCGAUCGACGCCAUUGGCCUGCGCGCCCAUAUAGCCAUCGAUCAAUCGUGCGAUCGAUGCGAUAUCUCCGUCACCGAUUAUUCUCCCAUGCAUGCAUGCAUCGCCUAACUAACCUAGCAGCUAGCAGAGAGAGUUGGAUUUCGAGGCCAGCUAGGGUGGGUCAAGACGUUCGAUGUUGCGGUGCCCGCUUUCCAGGCCAACGUCGGCCCUUGUCGCUUUACGUGGCCGCAACGUGAAGCAGAUAAUCUUUGUUAUUGCAACGGGUUCAGGUGAACAAUCAUGCAGAGCUGCCGUCAUCCAAUCAGUGCAAGCGCAACAAUGACUAUCUUGGGUUGGGUGCGUGGUCUGGGUCUAUCGGCUUUGGCCAGUCCAAGCUAGAUGAACUUCUUGCAACGUCCACAUCCGAUUCGGAUAUCAUUCCUGAUCUCCGUUGGCCGAUGGAUCCGACUGACGCCGGCGAAUAAGCGCUUUCACACACGCAUUCAUACGUGAUGGACGCGCGCAUGCAUCAUCACAAGCACGACUCUCGCGUGCGUCUUUAGAAGCCUACGUCGAAGCUACUAGCAGAACGAAGAACAAGAAGUCGUCAAGAACAUAUCCUAGCUCACGGCUACGGAUUAAUUUUGGCACGCCACAUAGGGCUGUAGCGUGUGGUAUUAGUCAGUACAGUACACGGGAAUAAGGUAACACAAGUCUGGCCUAACACUCCGCCUUCUCCACCCCCUUCUCUCCAAUCCAAUCCAAGCGCAUUCGGAGGCCAGGGAGAACAAAACACGACGAGACAUGACGGGUGCUAGUACAAUCAUUCCACUCCCUAUAAUAGGCCGGGGCCUCUCUCCUGAACCGCGAGGGAUGUCGUGCUUUUUCCACUUGGAGAGGCCUCGAGAUCAGCACCAGAAAGCUUUGCGUGCUGCCUGUAUGCCGGGUCUCGCUUGGUGCCACAUCUCGUGCGCUCCAGCCAAACUGCGUCAGUGAAUGCAGAGGUGCCCCGGCUGAUGGGUGAUGAGCCAGUACGCUACAGAGUGCCACGAUUUGGUUGGGACCAAAACAAGAAGGAAAAGAGGACGCGAGAUGGGAGAGAAAGCUGAUGGACCGAAAGGAACGCGUCAUGCAUGGCGAGCUGGCGACCAGCGUGUGCGCCCAAGCAGCGUGACGUGGGGACUAGCAGGAAUGUACUAGCACCCCACGAGUUUUAUGGAUCAUCUAAUUUCUACACUCUCCUAAAAGAAAAAUCUAAUUUCCGCACUAUUUGAUUAACCAAAUGAGAAAAUCCCGACGAAUCUCCACAUAAAUCCAACUUUGUAGAAACUAUUAUUUUUUCAUCUAAAUGAAAGUUUGACGCACUCUUGCUUUAUUAGUGUAUAAACCUGUUGCUCAGCUUUAUUUUUCUUUACUAAAACAAUGUCCGUGCGUUGCAACGGGAUAUAAAUAUUCUAGUACGUUAGCUUGUGAUUUACCUGCCAAUAUUAAUGCGAUUAUGUAAAUAAAUGUUUAUUAAAUUCUGACCGUGAAUUGCUUUAUAUUUUGAUUAGAAGUUUGGUAAGUAAAUUAAAGUGAAAUUAGUUCAGAAGGUAUGUAAAUUAAGGUGAUUCAUUAUCAUUACAUGGAAUGUUGGACGAAGGGGUGGUGGGAAGAAAGGUGAAAUGGGAACCUUACAUUAUCUUUAAGUAGUAGAGAAAAUCUAGGAUUUUCUUUCCAGCGAAUUGGUUGGGCUAGAAGAACAUUUUGGGCCUCACCUUGUUGAAGACUUUUGUGUGAGUUGUGUGACCCAAAGGUGGGCUCUGCAAACAAGUUCUCGGUCGUUGGGUCAUGCAAUCUUUAUGGAUUUCUUGCUUCCAUUUUCUGCGACCUGCUAUGAUUCUAGGGUACUCCUAUAGACACCCCUAAAAAAAGGGAACUCCUAUAGGGGACCUCCUAUAUGUCGCUUAUUGCGACAAACUAGCGGCGAUUCGCACAAAAACAGUUGACCUGGGCCGGCCCAUCACGCCGCGAAAAUCAACAGUACAAAAACUAGCGCCCUAGAUAGGAAUCGAACACGGGGACUAUUUCUCCCAUGUUUUCUCAAAAAGACUAUUUCUCGCAUUAAGCGAGUUGGAAGGGAUCUCUCGCUGAAGGAUCGUUGUGUCUCACGAGCAACUGUGCCGGCCCACUUAAUAAAAGAUAUAGGGGUAAGGGAGUGAAACAAGGGUUCGAACCUUCUUGAUGGACUGUAGGGCGCGACCUACUUAAGGUAAAAGAGCUAUUUUUCUCCACCGUUUUUUCCUGUUUUAUUCAGUUUUCUUCUCCUUUAUUUGGUUUUCUUUUUCUUCUCCUUUUUUUGUUUAGUUUUCUUUUUUAUUCUCCAUUUUGUGCGUGGUGUUCUUUUUCUUCUCCAUUUUUUGUUAUUCUUUUUCGGUUUUCAUUUCUUUGGUUUUCUUUGUAUCUUUUUGUUUUUCAUUCUACAUUCUUAUAUACACGAUAAAAAAUUCAAAUACUUCUUCAGAAAAAUUCAAAUACUUGUUCAUCACUUUUCGAAUACUUGUUCAUCAUUUUUAUAUACAAGAUCAACAUUUUUUCCAAAUAUUUGUUUGACAUUUCUCAAAUACUUGUUCACCAUUUCCCAAAUACUUGUUCAAUAUUUUCUAUAUACAUGAUCUGCAUUUUUUCAAAUACUUGUUCAGCAUUUGUUUUCAAAUAUUUGUUCAACAUUUUUCUAAAUAUUAUGUAAAAUUAUAUUUUUGUAAUAUAUAUGUCUAGACUAUUUGAAAGUGUAAACAAAACUAAAAAAUGGAAUCAAAAAACAAAAUAAAAACUUGAAGAAAGAAACAGAAAAGAAAACAAGGCAGUGUAGUGCACGCGAACCUGGGCCAGCCCAUAUGCUCGCGCGCUUCAGCGAGUGGGAAGCCUUGAUUCGCGGAACGCGAGACAUAGCGAUGCCCGGAAUCGAACACACGACCAGCGGCGACUCGCUCGCGUUGUUAGACGCUGCGACAAGCUGACUCUAAUGCUAGAUUUGCAGCGUGAUAUUCCAAAAAAGUAACCGCAGCGAAAAAACAUAAAUAAAUAAUUCCCAAUACUUAAAGUGCGUGGGCGUGGGAUCAAACACACGACUUCCAGCAAAGCGAAGAACCUCGCAAGCCACUGUAGCACAUAAAGUAAAUGCUGCCAAGAUUGGCAGCACAGUUUAUAUGAACAUCAAUGAAAAAUUUAAGCUUCUGUUCAAAUUUCGAACAUGAUUUUUAUAACAAAAGUAAAGUAAUUUUUUAAACAAGAACAUUUCCGAGAUUUAGAAAAUGUGAACAUUUUAAAAAAUCUCAAACAUAUUAUGAAAAAAAGGAAAAAAAAUUGAAAGCGAGAACAUUUCUCAAAAGUAUGAAUAAAUAUUUUCAAAAUGCAAACAUUUUCUGAAAAAAAGGAACAACAAUUGAACAACCUGACAUUUUUUUGAAAUUAUGAACAUUUUAUCCAAACGAGAACAUUUUAUGAAAUUCCACACACAUUUACCUUAAAUUGUGAAAAAAAUUGAAAACAUCAAUAUUUUUGAAUUUUUGAAUAAAUUUCAAAAAUAGGAAUAUUUUUCAAAAUUAUGAACUUUUUUUUCCAAAACACAAUUAUUUUAUGAAUUUCGCCAAAAUAAUUUCGAAAUUUGCAAUCAAUUUUGAAAACAUGAAAAUUAUUUGAAUUUCUGAGCACAUUUAGAAAACGGAAAUAUAUUUUGCAACUCAGGAACAUGUUUUGAAUUUUUCAGCAAAAAUGAAUAAAUUUCAAAAAAAAAUUGGAAAUUUCGAAAAUCCAUUUUUUCCGAUUUUUGAGCGAUUUCUUGUUUUCUUAAAAGAUGCAGAAAAUUGAAUUUCUAUUUUCAUUGGAUUUUGCAAUAAUUUCUGAAACAUUUUUGAAUUUUCAAAAAAAAUUGUAAAGAGGCAAGGAAAAUUGGAAAUUCUUAAAUUUUUUUGCAAUUUCUUAGGAAAUUUGAAGAAAGGAACAUUUUAAUUGAAAAAAGCAACAAAUUUUGAUAAAUGUGAACAUUUUUGAAAUUUCUGAAAAUCUUGUUGAAAAAUAAAAAUUAUGAAAAUGCAAAAGAAAAAGAGAAAAGAAAAGAAAGGAAAUCCAGGAAAACAGAAAACAAAAACGUAAAGUAAAAGAAAAAUAAAAAACCCGGUUCAACUCAAAUGCUUGAUUAACAUUUUUAUAUACAUGAUAAAAAUUCUUUAUUUUAAUUACCUGGUCAAAAAAAUUCCAUACACGUUUAACAUUUUCCAAGUGCUGGAUUAACAUUUUCAUAAUACUUGUGCAACAUAUUUUCAAAUCCUUCAUUAACACUUUUAUGUACGUGAUAAAAAAUUCAUAGUUUUUUAAUACAUGGUCAAAAAAAUUCUAUACACAUUUCGCAUUUUUCAAAUGCAUGAUUAACAUUUUUGAAAUACUUGUUCAACAUUUUUUUCAAAAGCUUGGUUAACAUUUUUACAUACAUGAUCAAAAGAAUUCAUCAUAUUUUAAUACAUUGUCAACAUUUUUUCUAUACACAUUUAACAUCUUUCAAACACAUGAUUAACAUUUUUCAAAACAUUAUGCAAAGUAUACAUCUGUAAUAUAUAUGUUUAAAUAUUUGGAAGCCUAAACGAAAUUAAAAAUAGAAAUCAAGAAACAAAAGAAAACAGAAAAAAAAGAAGCACCCGCAUCCCGCACACUGAGCCGGCCCAUACGCUCGCUCGAGUGGGAGGCCUUUGAAAAAAUGUUGAAAAAGUAUUUGAAAAAGGUUACUCAAGCAUUUGCAAAUUGUUAAAUGUGUAUAGAGAAAAUGUUGACUAAGUAUUAGAAAAUGAUGAAAAAAAUUGAGCAUGUACAUAAAAAUCUUAACCAAGCUUUUCAAGAAAUGUUGAACAGGUAUUUGAGAAAUGUUAAUUAAGAAUUUGAAAGAUAUAAAAUGUGUACAGAAAAAAUGAUGGCCAUGUAUAUAGAAAAUAUUAAACUUGUAUUUGAAAAGGUUAAAUGUGUCUAGAAAAUGUUGAGCAUGUAUUCAGGAAAUAUUAAACUUGUAUUUGAAAAAUGUUAAUCAAGAAUUUAAAAAAAAUUGUAUAGAAAAUACGUAGACCAUGUAUUAAAAUAUUUUAAUCUGGUAGUUGAAAAAUGUUAAUCAAGCAUUUAAAAAAUUUAAAUGUGUAUACAAAAAAGUGAAUCCUGCGAGAGAUGAAAUGAUGAAAAAUGAGAAAGAGGCAAUCAAAACCAAAAGACAAACAAAAAGAAAAGAAAGAAAAUAAAUAACAAUUGAAAACCAGAGAAAAUAACUAAAUAAAAUCAAAGAAAAAAGAAAGGAAAGAAGAAACCAGUGAAAAUGGAGAAAAUAAACUAAGAAAAACAUGUGAAAAAAUAAAAACAAAAAACCCGAAAAAUGAAUUAAAAAUCAUAUCUUUUUCCUCUCAAGUAGGUCGCGCCCCUAGUGUUUAGCAUGAAACGGAAGCUAAGCCAGUUGCAAGCCGCUCUAUCUACUAUCUAGGAGAUCAUGAGAUCGACUCCCGGCGCUCACCCCUUUUCCAUCUCUAUUUCUCUUUUCGGUGCUAGCUAAUGGGCCGGCCCAUCACUGGACAUGCUAGAGUGAGAGAUCCUUCUCACUCGCUUAAUGCAAGAUGUAGCUGCCGCGUCGAUUGGGAGGCACUAGUCCUACGUGUAUUGCCUUCUGUAAAAUAAACGAUUCCGAAAAUUUCAUAAAAAAUAUUAAAAAAACCUAAAUGGUAGAUAAUGCAGCUGCGCUAUUCGGCGAAGUUGAGCGCACGCAUGUGAGCUGUCCGAUGCUGGCGCAAUUUCGCUACGCGGCAAACUAUUAGAAAAACUGUGACGCCCCCGAUUCAAUCAUACACUAAUCAUACACGCAAACUUGUACGAUCAGGAUCAGGGACUCACGGGAAGAUAUCACAACACAACUCUAAAAUAAAAUAAGUCAUACGAGCAUCAUAAUACAAGCCGGGAGCCUCGAGGGCUCGAAUACAAGUGCUCGAUCAUAGACGAGCCAGCGGAAGCAACAAUAUCUGACUACAUACAAAAGUUAAACAAGUUUGCCUUAAGAAGGCUAGCACAAAUUGGGAUACAGAUCGAAAGCGGCGCAUGCCUCCUGCGUGGGAUCCUCCUAAACUACUCCUGGUCGUCGUCAGCGGCUUGAACGUAGUAGUAGGCACCUCCGGUGUAGUAGGAGUCGUCGUCGACGGUGUCGUCUGGCUCCUGGGCUCCAGCAUCUGGUUGCGACAACCAGGUAGAAGGGGAAGGGGGAAAGAGGGAGAAAAGCAACCGUGAGUACUCAUCCAAAGUACUCGGAAGCAAGGAUCUACACUACAUAUGCAUGGGUACAUGUGUAAAGAGGCAAUAUCGGUGGACUGAACUGCAGAAUGCCAGAAUAAGAGGGGUAUAGCUAGUCCUGUCGAAGACUACGCUUCUGGCAGCCUCCAUCUUGCAGCAUGGAGAGGAGAGGAGAUGGUAAGUUCAUCAAGUAGCAUCGUAUAGCAUACUCCUACCCGGCGAUCCUCUCCUCGUCGCCCUGCUAGAGAGCGACCACCGGGUUGUAUCUGGCACUUGGAAGGGUGUGUUUUAUUAAGUAUCCAGUUCUAGUUGUCAUAAGGUCAAGGUACAACUCCAAGUCGUCCUGUUACCGAAGAUCACGGCUGUUCGAAUAGAUAAACUUCCCUGCAGGGGUGCACCACAUAACCCAACACGCUCGAUCCCAUUUGGCCGGACACACUUUCCUGGGUCAUGCCCGGCCUCGGAAGAUCAACACGUCGCAGCCCUACCUAGGCACAACAGAGAGGUCAGCACGCCGGUCUAAAUCCUAUGCGCGCAGGGGUCUGGGCCCAUCGCCCGUUGCUCACCUGCACGUUGCGAACGCGGCCGGAAGCAGACCUAGCCUAGCAGGCGUUCCAGUCCAAUCCGGCGCGCGCCGCUCAGUCGCUGACGUCACGAAGGCUUCGGCUGAUACCACGACGUCGAGUGCCCAUAACUGUUCCCGCGUAGUUGGUUAGUGCGUAUAGGCCAGUGGCCAGACUCGGAUCAAAUACCAAGAUCUCGUUAAGCGUGUUAUUAUGAAGUAACCGCGGACGCCGACCAGGGCGAGGCCCACCUCUCUCCUAGGUGGUCUCAACCUGCCAUGUCGCUCCGCCACAAAGAUUCACCCAGAGGGCCGUUGGGACAAAGGUCCUUUCAGCCCCCAAUCCGUGAAUCACUCGCGGGUACUCCUCGAGCCGACCCGACUUUAGUCACCACAUGUAUCAUGUAUAAAGUGUAUAGUAUAUAUCCGUGAUCACCUCCCUAGUGAUCACGGCCGAUAGUAUAGCAUGGCAGAUAGACAAGAAUGUAGGGCCAUAGAUGGAAUACUAGCAUCCUAUACUAAGCAUGUAGGAUUGCAGGUAAAGGUAACAACAGUAGUGGCAAAGACAGGCUAUGCAGCAGAAUAGGAUUAACGGAAAGCAGUAACAUGCUACACUAUUCUAAUGCAAGCAGUAUAGAGAAGAAUAGGCGAUAUCUGGUGAUCAAGGGGGGGGGCUUGCCUGGUUGCUCUGGCAAGAAGGAGGGAUCGCCGUCGACGUAGUCGUACUCAGGGGCAUCAGCGUCGGUCUCAGGGUCUACCGGAGAAGAAGAGGGGGAAGAAACAGUAAAUACAUUGCAAACAGAUGCAUGACGAUGCAUGACAAAGCAAACAUCGGUGCUAGGUGUGCCCUAAUGCGGUAGGAGGUGAUACAGGCGAAGGGGGAAAACAUCCGGGAAAGUAUUCCCGGUGUUUCGUGUUUUCGGACAGAUGAACCGGAGGGGGAAAGUUGCGAGUUUUCUAUGCUAGGGAUGUGUGGCGGACGAACGGGCUGCAUAUCCUGAUUCGUCUCGUCGUUCUGAGCAACUUUGUACAAAGUAUUUUCAUCUGAGCUACGGUUUAUUUUAUAUGAUUUUCAAAAGUUUUAAAUCAUUUUUAGAAUUUAUUUAAUUCAAAAUUAUCCAGAAUAGUGUUUGCUGACAUCAUCAUGACGUCAGUAGUCAACAGAGGUGUUGACGGGUCAAACUGACGUGUGGGUCCCACUUGUCAUACUCUCCUUAGGUUAAUUAGGAUUGAGCUAAAUUAAUUACUGUUUAACUAACUAACUAGUUAUUAGAUUAAUUAACCAGGUUUAAUUAAGUUAAUUAAUUAUUAUUUUAACUACUAUUUAUUUAUUUAAAGUUUUAUUAUUUAUUUAUUUUCUUUAAAAUCGUUCUAGGGAUGGCCCACCAGUCAUUGGCACAAGGGGGCGAGGCCAGCUCUCAUAGGCCCCUGUGGCCUUAGCGGUCGGGCGGGCGUAGCGGCAACGGGGCGGAGCCAGGCGCUGGGCGCCCGAUUGGGGGAGCCCGGGCGCAGGCCGAAGGGGCACCGCGGGGGGCGCCGGAGAGGCGCCUGCUGGGACCGGAGAGGGCGCGGCCAAGUGCUGUGCAGAGCCAUGGGGCGGCAGUCGGAGGUGGUGUCGCGGCGGGAGGGGGCGCGGCAGCCGGAGCGGGGCAGUGCGGCGAGCAGCACCGGGCACGGUGGCGAGCAAGACCAUGANNNNNNNNNNNNNNNNNNNNNNNNNNNNNNNNNNNNNNNNNNNNNNNNNNNNNNNNNNNNNNNNNNNNNNNNNNNNNNNNNNNNNNNNNNNNNNNNNNNNNNNNNNNNNNNNNNNNNNNNNNNNNNNNNNNNNNNNNNNNNNNNNNNNNNNNNNNNNNNNNNNNNNNNNNNNNNNNNNNNNNNNNNNNNNNNNNNNNNNNNNNNNNNNNNNNNNNNNNNNNNNNNNNNNNNNNNNNNNNNNNNNNNNNNNNNNNNNNNNNNNNNNNNNNNNNNNNNNNNNNNNNNNNNNNNNNNNNNNNNNNNNNNNNNNNNNNNNNNNNNNNNNNNNNNNNNNNNNNNNNNNNNNNNNNNNNNNNNNNNNNNNNNNNNNNNNNNNNNNNNNNNNNNNNNNNNNNNNNNNNNNNNNNNNNNNNNNNNNNNNNNNNNNNNNNNNNNNNNNNNNNNNNNNNNNNNNNNNNNNNNNNNNNNNNNNNNNNNNNNNNNNNNNNNNNNNNNNNNNNNNNNNNNNNNNNNNNNNNNNNNNNNNNNNNNNNNNNNNNNNNNNNNNNNNNNNNNNNNNNNNNNNNNNNNNNNNNNNNNNNNNNNNNNNNNNNNGCGCAGCCGAGCGCGGGCGCGUGAGCGGGGCAUCGGGGGCGCGCACAUCGGAGUGGACACGGCCGCGGUGAGCGCGGAGCCGUGCGAGCGAGGAGGCUGGGAGAUCCGGGGCGCGGGCGACGCAUGGGUGCGCGCGUGCGGUGGCCGUGGCGACGAGCGGGAGGCGCGCGUGCAGCACUGGCAGGCGGUGUCGCGCGAGGGAGAGGGGACGGAGCGAGGCUCACGGCGGGUCGUAGGGUUCGGGGCAGCGGGUGUCGGGGUGGUCGACGGGGACGGCGUGACGGAGAGGAGGCAGGCCGGAGCGGGGCUCUGGCGACGGCGUUGAAAGAACCUGCGGUGCCCCCAUGUUUGGUUUUGAUAAUUGAUGACAAUAUCUAUGGACUAAUGGUUGCCUUGAGUUAUAUUUGAAGGAUUUGUCCAUAGGCAUUUCUUGAAGUUCAUGUGUUGGUUUCAAGGAGUUUAUGUGAUGACCAAGGUGUUAUUAAGGAAUUAUCCAAAGAUUGGUCAUGUGAGAGUUGAGCUUAUUGCAAGAAUGUUUUGGAGAAGAAGAUUGUGUGAUCAUUCAUGUAUAUCUUCAAGACAUCAUCCAAAUGAAGAGAGUUGGUUGAUCAAGACUAAGUCAAGAGUGAAUCAACUUGAUCAACUCACAAAGCGUAGAAGAUGUACCGAGAGGGAUCAAGCGAUCCCAUGGUGUGGUAAGCAUUGUCAAUUACGCUUUGUGUACUAACCCAUGAUCUUCGUGAGAGUUCUUUGUGGGGUUAGGUUGCGGUGUGCAAGUUCAAGUGAAGCAUCAUGAAGAGAUCAAAUGCUUGAAGCUUGCCGUCCAUUGUGGUGACAAUGGACUUGUGAAGAUGUUGCGGUGUGCAAGUUCAAGUGAAGCAUCAUGAAGAGAUCAAAUGCUUGAAGCUUGUCAUCCAUUGUGGUGACAAUGGACUUGUGAAGAUGUGCGGAAGAGUGGCUCACCCAUAGUGGAGCAUGGGGGAGCAAUCAACUAGUCUUCAUCGAGCCAACGCAACCAAGAAAGGUGGUCCAACUUGAGGGAGUCAAGAUCGUCAUCAUCUAGCUCAAGUGGACCAUGUGCAAGGCAAAGGUUUGCUCUUGAUAGGUUUUCUAUUUUACCGGUCUCAUGAUGGUAGUUGGGAGACCGGGUUAUAGGAUCGAUUGCCGUACUAUCAAGGGGGCUCUUGAUGAGUAGCUUGAUCGUAUCGUUCAUAGAGAGCUCAAACCAUUGCAUCCUUGCAUCAUCUUUAUUGGUUCUUGUUUGGUUCUUCUCUUUGUGAGGUUUGGAGCUUAUGGUCAUCUUGAUGACAAGCUCGAGUUCAUCGAAAACGGAGUUCACUCGCAUCUUCUAUGAUGUUUUCGAUGUUGGAGGUUAUGCCGGUUCUUCUCGGUUGGAGGUUUCACUCCUCUAUUUGUUGGCAUACCUCCCCUGCCUCUUCUUACUAUGCUGUUUUGAUGCUACUCGUCUUCCUCUAUCCAGCAAGCUUGAGUUUGCUCAAUUCGGAGCUCAUAUGCAGAAGUUAUGGCAGUUUUGGUUUCCUAGCGGUAGUACCGCUUGGGUGCUACAAGCGAUAGUACCGCUCUAGAGCGGCAGUACCGCUGGUAGCCAUCAGCCGUAGUACCGCUGCGGUCUCGUGCUAGUACCGCCUCGAUUCGGGGGGUCUUUUUCGUGUCGGGUUUUACGGUACUAGCCGCGGCAGUGGGGGCCGUAGUACCGCUCAUAUGCGGUAGUACCGCCCUGAACACCGCGGUAGUACCGCUCUGGGCCCAGCGGCAGUACCGUGAGGGAGAGCGGUAGUACCGCUGGCCAAGCGGUAGUACCGCUCUCUGCGGGGCUGGUGUGGGGGGUAACGGUUGGUUUGUUCCCCCCACUAUAUAAGGAGGUCUUCUUCCCCAAUGAACCUUAUCCUUUUGAGCUCGUGUUCUUCCCCCAUUGUUGACCUUCUUCGAGCUUGCUAACUCUCAAUCCCUCCAUGGAUUCUUGCUAGUUUUUGAGGGAAAAGAGAGAGGAGAUCUAGAUCCACAUUUCCACCAAUCACUUUCUCCUCUUUGUGAGGGGAACCCCUUGGAUCUAGAUCUUGGAGUUCUUGGUGUUCUCCUUCUUGUUCUUCCUCUCUUUUUCUCCCUAGCAUUAGUUGCUUCGGUGGGAUUUGAGAGAGAAGGACUUGGGCACUCCGUGUGCCCUUGCCAUUGCAUUUGGUGCAUCGGUUUGAGUUCUCCACGGUGAUACGUGGAAGUUACAAGUUGAGAAGCUUAUUACUCUUGGGUGCUUGGUGCCCUUGAGCUUGUUCCUCUUGGGUGCUUGGGCGCCCUAGACGGUUGGUGGUGUUUGGAGCUCAAUCAUUGUGGUGUAAAGCUACGGGCAAGCGUCGGGGUCUCCAAUUAGUUUGUGGAGAUCGCCCCGAGCAAUUUGACGGGUACCGGUGACCGCCCCCAAGGGUUGCCAAAGUGUACGGGUUCGGUGACCGCCCCCAAGGGUUGCCAUUUGUACGGGUUCGGUGACCGCCCUCAAGGGUCCCUUAGUGGAAUCACGGCAUCUUGCAUUGUGCGAGGGCGUGAGGAGAUUACGGUGGCCCUAGUGGCUUCUUGGGGAGCAUUGUGCCUCCACACCGCUCCAAACGGAGAUUAGCAUCCGCAAGGGUGUGAACUUCGGGAUACAUCGUCAUCUCCGCGUGCCUCGGUUAUCUCUUACCCGAGCCCUUUACUUAUGCACUUUACUUUGUGAUAGCCAUAUUGUUUCUUGUCAUAUCUUGCUAUCACCUAAGUAGGUUUUCUUGCUUAGCAUAAGUUGUUGGUGCACAUAGGUGAGCCUAGUUGUUGUAGGUUUUGUGCUUGACAAAUUAACCGCUAGGUAUAUUCCGCAUUUGUUCAAGCCUAACCGUAAUUAUUUUAAAGCGCCUAUUCACCCCCCCCCCCNNNNNNNNNNNNNNNNNNNNNNNNNNNNNNNNNNNNNNNNNNNNNNNNNNNNNNNNNNNNNNNNNNNNNNNNNNNNNNNNNNNNNNNNNNNNNNNNNNNNNNNNNNNNNNNNNNNNNNNNNNNNNNNNNNNNNNNNNNNNNNNNNNNNNNNNNNNNNNNNNNNNNNNNNNNNNNNNNNNNNNNNNNNNNNNNNNNNNNNNNNNNNNNNNNNNNNNNNNNNNNNNNNNNNNNNNNNNNNNNNNNNNNNNGUGAGCCCCGAUCCGAUCUGGAUCGAGGGGAAAGGGGAGAGAGCGCGUGGGGGGAGUGGUGGCGGCUAGGGUUGGACCAGGGGGGUCGGGGUGACCUAGUAGGGCGCCGGGGUGGGCCGGCCUUGUCGGCCUGAUUGGCCCAGAGGCCAGCUGGGCCGUGGCCCAAAGGGGGGGUUCUCCUGUUAUUUUAUUUUCUGUUUCUGUUUUGUAUUUUCUUUUAUUUAUUUUUCUUUUUCUGUUUUAUUGUACUUUUAAUUUCUUUAGUUUUGUAAAAUAUGACAAUAGCUCCUAAAUUAAUGUCUCUGAAUAACCCACGGCCUUAAAAAGUUUGGUGACUACAUAAACUAGUUUAACAUUUGUUUAUUAAUUUAAAAGCAUUCAAAUAAUUGUUUUGCUACUGUUUUAUUUAGUUAAGUGCAUUUAAACUUUUUAUAAAGACUUGGUUUAUCCACCAAUAUUACUUAUGAAUUAUUUGGCACAAACCGAACAGUUUUCUUUUAAUGUUUGAAAACUUUUGUUGUAUGCCAUAUUUGGAAUUUGAAUUUUGAAUCGGUUUUUGAACUAACGAGGGAUUAGCAACAGUAACGGAGGUGACGUGGCAUCAUUAGUAGAGUUUUUCUGUAGCCUAAUUAUCCGGGCGUCACAAUUCUCCUCCACUACAAGAAAUCUCAUCCCGAGAUUUAAGAGGGGAGUAAGGGAAAAAGUUCUGGUUACGAAAUUUUAACGGGUAUCCUCGGUCAUGGUUGCUCUUCUCGAAGAGGUUGAUCCAUUAUGUUGUUGUCUUCAUUCCUAUGCUUCAGGGCAUCAUGAUGAAGUCAUCAUCCUUUCUUUGGGGGUUCCAUCGUACUUAUGAAAAAGGAUAAUGGGUAUCUUCGGAAGAACUGGCCUCUAGAAGGUCGCUUAUCUGGUAGAUAACACCAGGAAAGGUGGCGAAAAGUAACUCUCGAAUUGUAACUGAAGAAAAUUUCAAGAGCAAGUUAAGAAGGUACCAUGAGAAGUUUCGAUCAGGCAGGAAAUCGUUCGUUGCCUGAAGCGAAGUGUGAAAGGGGUUUAGAACAAAGGGAAUAAGCAUUGUGUUUGGUACCAGAAUAGAUCACUAGGAAGGUGGUCCAUGAAUUACAUAUGAGGCCACGCGCGAGGAACAACCUUGCGAACAGGGGGUGUACAGAAGAGUCAGGUUUCAAUCCUGUGGAACUGUGGGUUAUGGGCCCACCAUGUGGGUUAAAAUUAGAAGGAGCGGUGACAUCUUGCAUGGUCAUGAUAGCAAGGCAGGUCAGAGGGUAGCCUGUCGAUUAUGUCGGCAACAACGUCGGUACCAAGGGCGAGGGACGAAGAGAACCAUUUUCCUGCUCGUCGAAACGAGGCGGACCAAUAGGCAAAGUUCUCGUCCAUCGGUGGUUACCGGAAUUUCAUCAACAAUAGUAACAGGGUCUUACUGACCGAAUUGUACACCACGGUGUUUACAUAAGCCAGGAGAUAUUACUGCUUAUGUCAUAUAGAUCACCAGUAAGGUUAAACAAAACAAUGGAAAGGAAAAGGUGAUCAUCAGAUUAAACAGAACAAUGGAAAGGAAAAUGUGUUUAAACACAUGUUUCAGGGAUAUAUCCUUCCCAAGGACAAGCAGAGCAUGAUAUCCAUGACAGGAUAUAAAGUAGAAAACCCUUUUAGGUAAGGGGAGAGAAAUUUCAUGACAUUACCCAUACAACGAUGUUUGGAUAGUUUAUAAAGAAAAUUUUGCAUUGUGCUCCAAAUGCUCUUAUUGAUGAUCGGAGUACCACAGACAUGCUUCGAGAUAGCAUUGACAUGGUCUUCAAUCAAGGGUCGGACUCUGGAUACACAAAGGAUCCAUUAGGAACAACUUAUAGAAUAAGUCUUACAAUUUCCUCAUGGAAGAAUGGUUAAAUUUGCUAAAAAGUAAACUAUAACAAUAGGACCUCCGGCCAGGUGUGCUAGGCACGACAUCACCUUACCGGGUCACAUAAAGACCAAUGUUAUAACUCUUGGAAAUAUGUUCCAACCAUCAUAUCUGACCGAGAUUCAGAUCUGAUUGGUGUUCGGAUAACUCAUAUUUAGGAUGCCUGAGAAAAAAGGUGCAACACAAAUUGUCGAGAUGACAUUGUAAGAUUCUCGGGAAUUGAACUAUGGAAGCGAGUUCCAAAACAAGAGUUCAUCAUUAAAACAAGGAGAGGUGACGAGGUGGUUGAUUGACUCUGUGACAAUCCAUUGAGAUUUCCAAAAAGAUGAAUUUCCACAAUUAUGUGAACAAGGAGAUAACAUUAGUCAGAUCAAAUGAUAUAAUGAUGUAUGCUCGAGGAAAACAUACACAAUUAAACAUUGGUUGAAAGGUGCGCCCGAAAUAUGGGUUGGGUUGCACGACCAAUGUCAGAAUGGUGAUUCAAUAAUCAAUAGUCCAAGAAUGAACGGCCGACCAUUAACUUCAAAGCAAUAGGGUUGCUAGAAGGACAGAAUCCAAACAGCACCGUUCGCUUGUUGGUAUCCCGGUUGGAAUCAACACGAGGACCAAGGAACGAACGGAGAUGGCAGGAAGUAUCACUUGUACCAAGAAUUCAUAAGAGGUGGUGAAAUUCUCACAACAUUCUUGACAUAAAAGAUGGUAAUACUCCAAGGUAAAGAAGAACAAUUGCUGGAUAGCAAGGAUCUCAAGGUAUAACAGAAAGCACGAACAAGUUUGUGUUGAACGAAAGGCAAUAAAGUGGUCGAUGAUAACACAAAUCAUCGAGAGCAAAGGGUGGUAUUUCUCAUCAAGAAUUCGAUAGAUAUCUUGGAAGAGCUCAGAAUGUUGAUGAUGUUCACGACACAUUUGUCGCGUGAUUUCAUGAAGAAGUAAUCGAUCGGCGACGAGAUCCAGUCAAAGGAAUGAUGAGGCGAAAGGUUAUUGGAACCAAGGGUAUGACACAAACUCGAAAUCAAGCUUGGUGUUCAAGGCGAAAUGAUACGACGAGGAAGAUCGGCAUAAGGUUAUCUCAUCGUCCAAAAUUGUGCUACGGGAAGAAGGACCAGGUAGCACAGUUUAAAAUUUUGGCACAAUAAUGAAUAUAGCCGAUCAGGCUAGGAAUGACGUGAUGGAGUAUUAAACUCCUCAACAACAAAGUACUAGAAGGUACUUAAUUGUAGUGCAGAUUCGAUUCACUAAUCGGCGUUCUCGAUUGACGACAACCCAGAACCCGUGGAGUGAUUAUGACGGGGAAAAGGUACUACUUCAUUAGAAAUUCAUAAGAUGAAGUGCAAUGGGUUGAUACCCUCGAGAUACCAGGGGGUAAUACUCGAAGGUAGAACAAAAUAGAGGUUGGGCAGGCAUACUGAUCUGCAGAAGACAAGUAAUUUAACUUGUCCGAGAAAUAGAAUCAAAGGAGAACAAUCAUGGUCGGAACCACGGUUGCAAAGGAUCAAUUCACAGAUACCAAAUGAUAUUUAUCAAGGAAAUAGUUAUUAUUACAAGAAGUUUCCAUGAUAGGAUCAACAUCAUGUCCAUGGGCAUGAACACAAAGUUCAAGGUCGACUCCCACUUCUCUAAUGCAUAACCUUUCAUUCACUUCUCGCCUUCGACGAAGUUGUAGUGUUGAAGUUUUAUCUGACAUGUCACUAGAAGAGUAUGACUCGUGAAAACUCUCGGGUGCAUACGGUUAGGGAAGGUAUAGGUUCAACCCAUAGGGGCAUCUUAGGAACAUAUACCACAAACUUCAGGCGCAAAUAACUCCAGCUCGGAAGUAGAGCAUGGUUCACAAAGCAGAAGAUAUAGAUUGUCAAAGACAUUUGUAUCAUGGGAAUAACUCACAAGAAUUUUUCAAUGUGAAGGAUACUAACGGAUAAUAACCCAGCAAUGGGCCUGGCGGUGCACAAUGGAGUUGAUGUGAGUAUCGGUACUCAAUAAGAGGAGGAAAGAAUGCAAAUGCAUUGGAUUAUAGAACAUCUGAAUAAUUCGAUGCUUUGAUAACAAAGGAAUUAUGAUUUCCAAAAUGAAGGAUCAGAAGCAGACGCUCUGAUCAAAGAUGGAUAGUCGAAUAGACAUAUGGGCGUACAAUCGAUGGCAAAUUGAUUGGUCAAGAACCAGCUCAUGUCCGGAGUGACGUCUGAGUUGAAGGGAAGAAUUCUAAUUGCUUGAUGAUUGCGAGCAUUCGCAAACAUAUCGAAUUAAUAUACUCACAAUAAUAGUGACAAAGGGUGCCAAUAAGAUUACCAGACGUAUGGGAUUAACCAUAAUGCAAGCAAGCAAGAAUUUCAAAAGCAAUAGGCUGCUCAGGAUUUUCGGAAGACCGAAUGGUAUUUCGAAGACUUUUGUGAAGCACAUGAAUCAACUGGGAUGAAUGGAUACUCGACAAGUGCGAGGAAUUAUCCGUAGGGGUAUUCAUGUGGUAAAGAACUGCAAGGCAGUAAGCUCAAAGGAUUCUCGGGACAACAGAGAGUAUUUCGGGGCAUCUUGUAAUAACAAGAUCAACAGGGAAUGAUUGUAUGAAUGGCAAGUGUAUGCAGUUUUCAUAGGGGUCGACGGUGGAAGGGAAUCGCAAAUGCAAUGGCACAAAGACUCAAGAGAACAUCGUAGAGUAACUUCGGAAUCUUCUAGUGCAGCAGGCGAUCAUCUGAAGUGAGGGGCUCUCCGGGAGAAAGUAUUUUCGAGAACCUAAAGUUAGUUUUGUUUUUAGAAAAAUCUUUAACCCGAAUAGAAGAGAGCUCAGAGUCCCAGAGUAUAGACGAGGAAUAAAAGAUCCUAAUGCCACCCAAUGGCGACGUGGGCCCGUAAGCCACACAGCCAUGUUAGUAAAAGUUUUGCAAUGACUAGACUCGACUUCGGCCAAGGAGUGUGGAAGGGGGAUUCCUACAGGCAGUUGGCUCUGAUACCAACUUGUGACGCCCCCGAUUCAAUCGUACACUAAUCAUACACGCAAACAUGUACGAUCCAGAUCAGGGACUCACGGGAAGAUAUCACAACACAACUCUAAAAUAAAAUAAGUCAUACAAGCAUCAUAAUACAAGCCGGGGGCCUCAAGGGCUCGAAUACAAGUGUUCGAUCAUAGACGAGUCAGCGGAAGCAACAAUAUCUGAGUACAGACAUAAGUUAAACAAGUUUGCCUUAAGAAGGCUAGCACAAACUGGGAUACAGAUUGAAAGAGGCGCACACCUCCUGCCUGGGAUCCUCCUAAACUACUCUUGGUCGUCGUCAGCGGCCUGAACGUAGUAGUAGGCACCUCCGGUGUAGUAGGAGUCGUCGUCGACGGUGGCGUCUGGCUCCUGGGCUCCAGCAUCUGGUUGUGACAACCAGGUAGAAGGGGAAGGGGGAAAGAGGGAGAAAAGCAAACCGUGAGUACUCAUCCAAAGUACUCGCAAGCAAGGAUCUACACUACAUAUGCAUGGGUACAUGUGUAAAGAGGCAAUAUCGGUGGACUGAACUGCAGAAUGCCAGAAUAAGAGGGGUAUAGCUAGUCCUGUCGAAGACUACGCUUCUGGCAGCCUCCAUCUUGCAGCAUGGAGAGGAGAGGAGAUGGUAAGUUCAUCAAGUAGCAUCGUAUAGCAUACUCCUACCCGGCGAUCCUCUCCUCGUCGCCCUGCUAGAGAGCGACCACCGGGUUGUAUCUGGCACUUGGAAGGGUGUGUUUUAUUAAGUAUCCAGUUCUAGUUGUCAUAAGGUCAAGGUACAACUCCAAGUCGUCCUGUUACCGAAGAUCACGGCGGUUCGAAUAGAUAAACUUCCCUGCAGGGGUACACCACAUAACCCAACACGCUCGAUCCCAUUUGGCCGGACACACUUUCCUGGGUCAUGCCCGGCCUCGGAAGAUCAACACGUCGCAGCCCUACCUAGGCACAACAGAGAGGUCAGCACGCCGGUCUAAAUCCUAUGCGCGCAGGGGUCUGGGCCCAUCGCCCGUUGCUCACCUGCACAUUGCGAACGCGGCCGGAAGCAGACCUAGCCUAGCAGGCGUUCCAGUCCAAUCCGGCGCGCGCCGCCCAGUCGCUGACGUCACGAAGGUUUCGGCUGAUACCAUGACGUUGAGUGCCCAUAACUGUUCCCGCGUAGUUGGUUAGUGCGUAUAGGCCAGUGGACAGACUCAGAUCAAAUACCAAGAUCUCGUUAAGCGUGUGAUUAUGAAGUAACCACGGACGCCGACCAGGGCCAGGCCCACCUCUCUCCUAGGUGGUCUCAACCUGCCCUGUCGCUCCGCCACAAAGAUUCACCCAGAGGGCCGUCGGGAAAAAGGUCCUUUCAGCCCCCAAUCCGUGAAUCACUCGCGGGUACUCCUCGAGCCGACCCGACUUUAGUCACCACAUGUAUCAUGUAUAAAGUAUAUAGUAUAUACCCGUGAUCACCUCCCUAGUGAUAACGGCCCGAUAGUAUAGCAUGGCAGACAGACAAGAAUGUAGAUCCAUAGAUGAAAUACUAGCAUCCUAUACUAAGCAUGUAGGAUUGCAGGUAAAGGUAACAACAGUAGUGGCAAAGACAGGCUAUGCAGCAGAAUAGGAUUAACGGAAAGCAGUAACAUGCUACACUAUUCUAAUGCAAGCAGUAUAGAGAAGAAUAGGCGAUAUCUGGUGAUCAAGGGGGGGCUUGCCUGGUUGCUCUGGCAAGAAGGAGGGAUCGUCGUCGACGUAGUCGUACUCAAGGGCAUCAGCGUCGGUCUCAAGGUCUACCGGAGAAGAAGAGGGGGAAGAAACAGUAAAUACAUUGCAAACAGAUGCAUGACGAUGCAUGACAAAGCAAACAACGGUGCUAGGUGUGCCCUAACGCGGUAGGAGGUGAUACAUGCGAAGGGGAAAACAUCCGGGAAAGUAUUCCCGGUGUUUCGUGUUUUCGGACAGAUGAACCGGAGGGGGAAAGUUGCGAGUUUACUACUCUAGGAAUGUGUGGCGGACGAACGGGCUGCGUAUCCGGAUUCGUCUCGUCGUUCUGAGCAACUUUCAUGUACAAAGUAUUUUCAUCUGAGCUACGAUUUAUUUUAUAUGAUUUUCUAAAGUUUUAAAUCGUUUUUAGAAUUUAUUUAAUUUAUUUAAUUCAACAUUAUCCACAAUAGUGUUUGUUGACGUCAGGAUGACGUCAGCAGCCAACAGAGGUGUUGACGGGUCAAACUGACAUGUGGGUCCCACUUGUCAUACUUUGUUUAGGUUAAUUAGGAUUUAGCUAAUCUAAUUACUGUUUAACUAACUAACUAGUUAUUAGAUUAAUUAAUCGGGUUUAAUUAAGUUAAUUAAGUUAAUUAAUUAAUUUAACUAUUAUUUAUUUAUUUAAAGUUUUAUUAUUUAUUUUUAUUUUUUUCUUUAAAAACGUUCUAGGGAUGGCCCACCAAUCAUUGGCACAAGGGGGCGGGGCCAGCUGUCAUAGGCCCCUGUUAUCUUAGCGGGUCGGGCGGGCGUAGCGGUAGUGGGGCGGAGCCAGGCGCUGGGCGCCCGAUUGGGGGAGCCCGGGCGCAGGCCGAUGGGGCACAGCGGGGGGCGCCGGAGAGGCGCCGGCUGGGACCGGAGAGGGCGCGGCCAAGUGCUGCGCAGAGCCGUGGGGCGGCAGACGGAGGUGGUGUCGCGGCGGGAGGGGGGCGGCAGCCNNNNNNNNNNNNNNNNNNNNNNNNNNNNNNNNNNNNNNNNNNNNNNNNNNNNNNNNNNNNNNNNNNNNNNNNNNNNNNNNNNNNNNNNNNNNNNNNNNNNNNNNNNNNNNNNNNNNNNNNNNNNNNNNNNNNNNNNNNNNNNNNNNNNNNNNNNNNNNNNNNNNNNNNNNNNNNNNNNNNNNNNNNNNNNNNNNNNNNNNNNNNNNNNNNNNNNNNNNNNNNNNNNNNNNNNNNNNNNNNNNNNNNNNNNNNNNNNNNNNNNNNNNNNNNNNNNNNNNNNNNNNNNNNNNNNNNNNNNNNNNNNNNNNNNNNNNNNNNNNNNNNNNNNNNNNNNNNNNNNNNNNNNNNNNNNNNNNNNNNNNNNNNNNNNNNNNNNNNNNNNNNNNNNNNNNNNNNNNNNNNNNNNNNNNNNNNNNNNNNNNNNNNNNNNNNNNNNNNNNNNNNNNNNNNNNNNNNNNNNNNNNNNNNNNNNNNNNNNNNNNNNNNNNNNNNNNNNNNNNNNNNNNNNNNNNNNNNNNNNNNNNNNNNNNNNNNNNNNNNNNNNNNNNNNNNNNNNNNNNNNNNNNNNNNNNNNNNNNNNNNNNNNNNNNNNNNNNNNNNNNNNNNNNNNNNNNNNNNNNNNNNNNNNNNNNNNNNNNNNNNNNNNNNNNNNNNNNNNNNNNNNNNNNNNNNNNNNNNNNNNNNNNNNNNNNNNNNNNNNNNNNNNNNNNNNNNNNNNNNNNNNNNNNNNGUCAGGCAGCGUCCAGAUCGAGCGGGGGCGCAUGAGCCCCGAUCCGAUCUGGAUCGGGGGGAAAAGGGAGAGAGCGCGUGGGGGGGAGUGGUGGCGGCUAGGGUUGGACCAGGGGGUCGGGGUGACCUAGUAGAACGCCGGGGUGGGCCGGCCUAGUCGGCCUGAUUGGCCCAGAGGCCAGCUGGGCCGUGGCCCAGAGGGGGGUUCUCCUCUUAUUUUAUUUUUUGUUUCUGUUUUGUAUUUUCUUUUAUUUAUUUUUCUUUUUCUGUUUUAUUUUACUUUUAAUUUCUUUAGUUUUGUAAAAUAUGACAAUAGCUCCUAAAUUAAUGUCUCUGAAUAACCCACGGCCUUAAAAAGUUUGGUGACUACAUAAACUAGUUUAACAUUUGUUUAUUAAUUUAAAAGCAUUCAAAUAAUUGUUUUGCUACUGUUUUAUUUAGUUAAGUGCAUUUAAACUUUUUGUAAAGACUUGGUUUAUCCACAAAUAUUACUUAUGAAUUAUUUGGCAGAAACCGAACAUUUUUGUUUUAAUGUUUGAAAAUUUUUGUUGUAUGCCAUAUUUGGAAUUUGAAUUUUGAAUCGGUUUUUGAACUAACAAGGGAUUAGCAACAGUAACGGAGGUGACGUGGCAUCAUUAGCAGAGUUUUUCUGUAGCCUAAUUAUCUGGGCUUCACAAAAACGGCCUCCUUCUCCCUCGUGAAAUACCUGGCAUCGUCAGAAGUUGAUGGUCCCUAAGGAUUAACUGCAUGCAUAUGCUGAUGUCAUCCCACUUUAUUUCGUCUCAUUUUUUCAAAAAGCUAUAACUUUUGAACCGAGCAUCAGAACGAAGAUCCUUUUUCACCAUUAGGUUUAUCGCGACGAGAUCUUCAAAACUAGAUCUCAUAUGAAUACGUUUCGAUGAAGUUUUUUUAAAGAAACUUUGGUUCUAGUUGAGGCAACUUUAUUUCUAAACAGAGGCAACUUUGUUGCACCAUGUGUAGUAGUCAAUUUUACCUAGCAAGUUAUCGUAGAAAACAUAGAAACCAUGCCGGACAAAUUUUCAUCAUAUGUAGGCAACUGAACAUCAUGCGUAAGCAACUUUGGUAUCACAUGGAGGCAACUUUUGUCAUGAAGGUGCAUUCAACAUAUAUUAUGCAUACACUGUCCUAUUAUCGCCUAUUCAUAUUUUGUAAAAGGAAAUCAAACAUUUCUCCCAGUUUUCUAUCAUUGUUAUGAAGUUGCCUAUUACCAAAAACCCAGGGGGUCUAGUCCAGGUGCAUGGCAUUUUUGUUUGAAUCAAUGCGAUAAUUUUUGCAGUUAAUAGAUUGGCAAUUAUGUGAAUUAUGGGGGACAAAGCAAUCACUUGGAUUUGGUAGAAGAGUUUCAUCGAGUAGUAAUGAGGUUGCUUGGUUUGGUAUGGGGACAAAGCAAUCGCUUGGAUUUGCUAGAAGAGUUGCAUUGUGUCAUAAUGCAGUUGCUUGGUUUGGUUAGGAUAGUUGCUUGGUUUUUACUUGGAAAGUUUUGCACGAUGUUUUUAGUAAUGUAGUUGCUUGGAUUUGCUAGGACAGUUGCUUGGUUUUGUAUGGACAAUUGCUUGGUUUUGUUAGGCUUUUGUUAGAAUAGGCAACUAAUUUGCAAAGUUAGGCAAUUGAGUAGAAAUGGUAGGCAACUAUUUACCAAUAGCAAGCAACUGGGCGUCAAUGGUAGACAAUUUCAUAGUACUUGUAGGCAACUUAGCAUCAACCAUAGGAAACUGACAUUCAACGAUAGGAAAGCAAGCGACCAUGAAUAGGCAAGUUGGGAUAAUGUUUUUUCUUAGCAAAUUCAUAGUACUAAAGGUGCCUCAUGUUUCAUCGGAUUUUCUCAUUUUUACACAAAACAACAUCAUAGAAGUCCUACUAAGCCAAAGAAGAAGUUGUUUCCUAUAGAACUAAAGUUGCCUCCAUUACACCCAAAGUUGCCCACCCAAAAAAGAUCAACAUAACCUAUCCAUAUGGGAUCUAAAUUUGAAGAACUCGUCGUGAGAAACCCAACGGUGAAAACGGUUUUGAAGUUUGACGUCCGAAUCAGAAGUUAAGGCUUUUCAAAAAAUUUGAAACCCCAAAUUGAUGCACAUGUGACAAGGUCUUGGCUGAUUUAUUUACUAACAUCCUAAAAUCACGUGGGCUCAAGGAAGGUGGUGUGGGGGGGGGGGGCAGGGUCUUUUCUUCUUUUGGAAGGCACAUGGGGGACCAACUGCACUUUUUAUGAUGACCUUCCGUUUGUGGUGUAGGUCUCAAUCACACCAACGGGCGCCCAGGCUAUAAAAAACAUAUAAUUUGAAAGAACAAGCAUUUGGAAAAAGUACACAAAUUUGAAAAGUUUCAUUGAGUUUUUUUUAAGUUCACAUGUUUGAGAAAAGUUCAUUAAUUUUGAGAAAAAAAGGUUCAUCGAUUUUGCAAAAGGUCAAUUUUGAAAUAAAAAACUUCACAAAUUCAAAAAAUCUCAUAAGUUUGAAAAAAAGUUCAUCAAGUUUGUAAAAAAGACCACAAAUUUUGAAAAUUUUCUUUGAUGUUGAAAAAAAGUACAAUGAUAUUGAAAAAAAGUUCAUGAAAUUAGAAAAUUCAAGAAUUUGAACAAGAGAUCACAAUUUUGAAAAAAUGGUUGCGAAAUUGAAAAAAGGUGACACAUUUCGUAAAAGAGAAAGGAAAAGAAAAAUUAAAAGGAAAAAACGAGCAAGACCGUUCUGAAAAAUGAGAAAAAUGGCACGAAAGAAAAAGAAUAAGGAAGAAAUGAGUUAAAAAUAUGUAACUAAUCAUGUAAAAUGAGGGUGGUUGGUUGAUUACUGCAACAUACUUUGAACCUUGAAGUCGCCGGUUUGAAUCCCAAAUACCAUACGUGCAUAAUUUUUCGCGGGUUAAAAUCAGAAGGAAAAGAGAUAGAUGACUUGCAAGAGGGGUUGUGCACCCGUUUGCUAAAUGUACUACAAUUGGCGCCUGAAGCACCAAAUAGGAAAUGUCGGCACCUUCAGCACCACGUUGCGAACCUAGCACCCACAACGUCGCUUGCAUGGGCCUGGCCCAGUAUCGCUCGCUAGCUCCCGCCCUCUUGCUCGCUAGCCACCUACUCGAUCAUUGACUCCCGCUCGAUCACUUGUUUUUUCUCUGCUAAAAAAUUACAACAAUUUUUAUUGAUUUUCUUAGAAAAAAGAAACCUACCGGUUUGCUACAAUUUGUACUGUUGUACUUAGAAAAAAAGGCUGGGUUUUGAGUUCAAGAUUUGAAAAUAAAAUCAUGAACUUACAAAAUAUUCGUCAACGUUUGAAAUGAAAUUUCAAUGAUUUUGAUGAAAAGUUCAACCAUUUUGAAAAAAGUUCAUAGAUUUUGAAGAAAAGUUCACAAAUUUGAAGAAUGUUCAUUGAUUUUCAAGAGAAGUUCAUAAAUUUGGAAAAAGUACAUCGAUUUUACAAAAAGUUUACAAUUUUGACAAAACUUCAUCUAUUUAAGAAAAACAUGAAUUAGAAAAAAUGUUCACAGAUUUUUGAAAAAAAUCACCAAUUUUGAAGAAAAAGUUCACGAGUUUGAAAGUUCGUAAUUUUAAAAAAAAACAUGAAUUCAGAACAACUUCACGCAUAUAUAAUAAUAAUAGAGAAAAUAAAAAGGGAAAAGAAGAAAAGUGAAGAAACCCGUUCCAAAAAAGAGAAAAAAUGGAACCGGAAAGAAAUAAGAUAAGAAGAAGGAAGAAAGAAGAAAAAACAGAAAAAGAUGAAAGAAAUAAGAUGAGGUGAGUGUUGGAAAUAUGCCCUAGAGGCAAUAAUAAAUUGGUUAUUAUCAUAUUUCCUUGUUCAUGAUAAAGUUUUAUUAUUCAUGCUAGAAUUGUAUUGACCGAAAACGUAAAUACAUGUGUGAAUACAUAAACAAAUACUAUGUCCCUAGUGAGUCUCUACUAGACUAGCUCGUUGAUCAAAGAUAGUUAAGGUUUCCUAACUAUAGACAUGAGUUAUAAUUUGAUAACAGGAUCACAUCAUUAGAAGAAUGAUGUGAUGGACAAUACCCAACCGUAAGCUUAGUAGUUGAUCGUAUCCUUUUUUGUUAAGGUUUCUUCAUGUCAAGUAUCUAUUUCUAAGACCAUGAGAUCGUGCAACUCCAUCACACCGGAGGAAUACUUAGUGUAUAUCCAACCAUCACUUCGUAACUGGGUGAUCAUAAAGGUGUUCUACAGGUAUCACCAAAGGUGUUUGUUGGGUUGGCACGGAUCGAGACUGGAAUUUGUCACUCCGUAUGAAGGAGAGAUAUCUCUGGGCCCUAUGAUAUGUCUCAACGUAUCUAUAAUUUUUAUUGUUCCAUGCUAUUAUAUUAUCUGUUUUGGAUGUUUUAUAUGCAUUAAUAUGCUAUUUUAUAUUAUUUUUGGGACUAACCUAUUAACCUAGAGCCUAGUGCCAGUUCCUGUUUUUUUUCCUGUUUUAGAGUUUCGUAGAAAAGGAAUACCAAACGGAGUCCGAAUGAAAUAAAACCUUCGCGAUGAUUUUUCUUGGACCAGAAGACACCCAGGAGACUUGGAGAUGAAGUUGGAGGAGACACAGGGCGGCCACAAGGGUGGAGAGCGUACCCAGGGGGUAGGGCACGCCCCCUGUCUUGUGGGCCCCUCGUGCACCUCCUUACCAAAUUCUUUCGCAUAUAUAUUCCCAAACCACGAGAGGCAUGCACGAAAACACUUUUCCACCGCCACAACCUUCUUUACCCGUGAGAUCCCAUCUAGGGACCUUUUCCGGCACCCUGCCGGAGGGGGGUACGAUAACGGAGGGCUUCUACAUCAACUCUAUUGCCCUUUCGAUAAAGCGUGAGUAGUUUACCACACACCUACGGGUCCAUAGAUAGUAACUAGGGGCUUCUUCUCUCUCUUUGAUUCUCAACUAGAUGACCCGUUGCGCCCAUGGCGCAAAGGUCGAGAUCAAGCUAAUUAUUGAAAGAGUAUGCACCAAAAUAUGUAGACACGGAAGGAAACAUAUGAAAAUAAAGUACGGAUUGAUGAUAGUCAUACAGACAUGAUUGUCAUUUUUUUUACAUAAAAUCCAAAAUGAUGUCAAAUGUAAAAGUCUCGAUAGGUACUUGUAGUAAUACCAAGUUACGUAGCAAAGAACUAUUGUGAUAUGCUUAGAUUGAAUAGACGAUCAUGCAGAGGCCCUUAGACAUGCACUUGAAGACGAAAGCAUAUGCACACCCUUUCUUCAUGUUUGCCUUAUGGAAGAAGUUGCUCCAGUUCUUUGUGAGUGUAGCCCUGUUGUCAACGCCCUUGAUAAAGCGGGCCAUGACUGGUGGUCAUGUCUCCUGUACUGAUUGGUAGCUCAUCAUGAUCGGCAUCCAUGUGUGGGAAGAGGCUUCUCUUAGAAAAGUGUGUGCUAAAGUACUGCAAAUGAGGAUAAAGGUUAUUCAGUAUAUGGUUUGUCGGCAUGUUCUUGUAGGAAACCAAGAAUGCAUUUGUUUAAGAUUACCAUUCUUUUGUCGUCAGUAGCAAAUGUUUCUGUCAUGUGGCAUACGUAGUAAUGGUAAGGUGUUUUUUUGUCUUUGUGAUAUUUCGCAGAGUGCAAACAUUUUUGCUAUACAACUUAAAUGUAUUUUCCCACACACAGUGGGCAGCAAACUCAUCUAAGUAGUGCUCAUCGGGCUUGCCUGACAAUUUACACAGAACUAUAGUAUUUAGUAUUUGUCGGAGGAGUUGCUGCAAACAGGAAAGUAAUAAGAGUUUUUACCGCGAGUAAUGUAUUUUCCAGCUUUCAAAUGGAUAUUUUCCCUUUGAACUUUGGGACUUACCCGGCCUUGCGUGGGCGAUGAAUAUAUUCUAGGGGCUGCUUGUGCUUGCGGCAGGGCGGCGGUUCUAUAAAUGACAAGUAAGAGCGGUAUUAAGCUGGGGUGGAAUGAUGUGAAUUAUCUAGAAUUGGAAUAACACAGUUACCAUAGCGAUAACUAUUGGCAUGAGCCUGAGUCAUAUGAUUGAUGCCAACAUCUUGGUACCGUCGAGUUCCUCCUGUUUGACUGGGAGCAUCCACAAACAAGCAGUAAGAUUAUGAAGUUUAUCUAAUUGUGUGUGGCUUUAUCUAGGAGUUCUGACAACGUUUGGUGGUCCUGAAAUCUCUAUGUAAUUAUGUUUGGGAUGUUGUGUACUUCUGAUGAACUUUUAUAAUAGAUCUGAUUUCUUUUGGUAAAGAAAGUUCAUAUGGGUAGGAACUCCCUCGUUCAAUUAAGCGGUACGAUUCUGACUGGAUCGCCACACUUGUUUCUGUGAAAAAAAACUCCCUGAGAAUAUAGAACCUCAAAAUGUGUUUGCUUGGUGACGCCCGCUGUUUAAGGGUGGACGCGUUGUGGGCCACAACGUUAUGCAUGUCGGGUGUGUGUGGGUUUCGCUGUGUGCAAACCUAGCCAAAUGGACCGGCCCGACCCAGCACGACCCGGCCUGGGUUAAAAGGGUCAGGCACGGCACGACCCGGUCAGGCACGCUAGUCUUGGCUUCCCUAAGAAAAAGUACUCGGGCCGUGCCCUCCCUAGCCUAGGCUCGGCUCCUCGCUAAACGGGCUGGCAUGACGGCCCGUUUGGCACGCCGACAUAAGAGCAAGUACAAUAAGGUGACAUAAGCAGACUAUAAGGACUAAAAUAUUAUAUAUUUGUUUAACUGGAGGCGAGAGAAGAGAAGCGGGUUGUUGAUUAGUAGUCAAUUGCAACACAAGACUCAAGCCACUAUGUGAGGUUGUAUGGUGUAUCAACUAUUAAUAAUGUACUCCGUCUCUUUCUAAAUGUAAGUUUUUGUAGAGAUUUCAUGAUGAAUUACAUACGGAUGUAUAUAAACAUAGUUUAGAGUGUAGAUUCACCCAUUUUGCUUCAUGGACUUGUAUUUAGAAACGAAGGGAGUAGUACACAUUUAAAAUUUAUUAUUGUACGUAUCGCCUUAUAGCCGAUUGUUGUAUUAUUAACUAUACUACCAUCCCACUAAAAAAUCACGACAACCAUGGUCUAGAAAAAGGCACGUCCGCCCGUGACCAUGCGGAGGCAGGUAGAGCUGUAGUGCGCUCGUCGCCUUGUGGCCGCAAGGACCCAGGACGCACAUUGAUGCAUGCAGCGUGUCGGGUGUGUGUGCGCGUGUCCUCUCAGCAAGCUUUAAUCUCCAGCUGGCCGCUGGUCCAAGCCACGUGUCGUGUGUGUAUGGGUUUCCCUGUGAGCGUGUGUUCUCAACGGGUUAGCGACUCGGCGCAGCUCUGAAGAGUGGAGAUUGGCGAUUUGGGGUGCUGGGUACGCCUCAGUUCCAAGCUGUGGCUGGAGGAUCCCCGCCGUCGUGUUGUUCCAGCUGUCGGUGCUACUUCCGCGGCUGCUCCUUGGGCGUUGCUUCGCCGUCCACACGAACUGCGCCGUUGCUGUUCUGGUCAGCCAUCUCGCCCUGCGUCUGCUCAGCCAGCUGCUUCGCCCUACGUGUGAUCUGGUUUGUAUUGUUUCCUCUGGUAUUAGAUUUGUUGUUUGUUGUCGUGGGCUAUGUUCGGUACGGUGUUUCUUGAGCAACGAUGUCGUUGGAUUAGGCGCUGGUUUUUUAUGGACGCCGCUUUUGUGCUACAUUUGUUGUGGGGGGCGCCAUGCACCGUGGAGGAGAAUGGCAUAUUGUUGUUGGCUGGAGCUUCCCCUCAAGUUUAACUUACUGCUUUAGUUACCGACUUUGACAGAAGUAGAUAGGGUCGAUGCACCCACCGCACAGAGCUCAAAGAAGCACGUCAAUCCAGCAAUACAUGGCAUCGGCCAGACGUCAACCAACCACGCAGCCAUCAUUGUCUUACCUGCUCUAAGCACGCACUUAACGUUGUUUCAGAUGGAAUACAUUCAACAUACAUGGUGGAAGAGAGUUGCCCCCAGGCACCCCAGUACUGAACCACGACGUCCACAAUAAUGAGAUGGAGAUCGUCGUCCCAGGGGUAAUCAAUUUAAACUUGGCUAACAUCAGUCACCUACAUUACCAUGAUCUCACCAGUUGCUAGAUCCAGUAUACUGACAGUGAUUCACGAACCAUAUAGUCAUUAAACUGCAUGCAAUUCCUGUUUUAAGAAUACUUGCCCAAAUAAUGGCUGCAUUGUCACCUCGGUCACUUUAAAAUAUGGGCUCCACAUUUCACCUUCCCCUCACACCACAUAUAUUUACACGAUGCAAUAAAAGAUUGUAUGUCAAUCUCAUGCCUUGUUUUGAAAUCGAUUAAGUAAAAAAUGGUACCCUUAUGUGUGCACUUGCCAGAGAGGUGCAUUCAAUACUUCCCUACUUGAGGGGAUCGCAUAUACUAAAUUAAAAUGCAGUGAUCACAUCACAAAUUAUAAAUUGUUUUCUUAAUUUACACACACCGUACACCUGCUUUCCCAAAUCGGCAUUACCAUAUCACCAUAUAUCCAACCUUUAGGCGCAACAGGCAACCUACAAUUGGAGUGAUGGUUUAGUAAGAAAGAACAUUUAGCACAAAGAAAGAUGAAUUUUGAAAGAAAAAAACUUAGAAAAAAUUGAUGCUCGACUCACUACUAAUACCAUCUAAUAAUAUGCAAGAUAGUAAUAAGAGGUCAAGCCAAUCAAGUGAAAGACGUUUGAACUGGAAUUAGACACAUUGUACAUCAUCAAUCAUUAGGAGCUGGACCCCAUAGAAUCUUUUCGGGUUCAGUUGUAUGAUUAGAAUUUGGCUUCAAACUAACUAAACUAAAGAGUUUUUUUUUCUUGUCCACCCUUCAGUUGCCAAAUUAUGAUUCAUAAAGUUAUAGCGCAUCUUGGAAAUGUUAUAAUAGUUUUGGUUACACGGUUCAUGAUAUACCUAUGGAUAUUAUACUGACUGAUAGUCCAUGGUUCAUUUGAGCUCACUUUGGCGCGAAUGCAGUGAUGAAGGUUCGACAUGCAGUUUCGGAUUUCCCUUCUCAUUCAGUGCAGCUUCCCUCAUGAUGUAUGCCACAUGCUAAUAUGAACUUUCUCAUUGUAUAUAAAUUUUCAUGAGAGAAAAAGAGAAAAGAUGCUCCAGUUUUCCUUGCAGCUCAAUUUUCACACCCUUCCCAGGUUAAUAUUCACUAUUUUCUUUGGACCAUCUUUAUGCUGCCUUUUCUCUGUACACACCUCAUCAAAACUGAACAAAGAGGCAUCACAUAGGUUUAGAUGGCGCGUGUGAACAUGGUUUAAGAUAUGAUGUUUCUUGGAGAGAGCAAACUUACCUUUUCCAUUUCAUGGUUUAUUAACUAAAAUAUUGAUCGACGGCACAUUCUGAUGCUUCAGCUUUGUUUUUGCCUUCUUGUCACUUAAUUAGGCACUAUAGUAAGAAAGCAUACUGAAUGAGACUCGAAGGAAUUUUGAUGUCAACUUGUAAUUAGCAAAACUUAAAAUGAUCUCUUUAAACAAGUAUCAGAUUAAAGAAACCAAUAUAGAACCAUAUUAAAUAGGGACUGAGCUUAGCUGGAAGGUGAGAAAGAAAUUACAAUUGCUAUUGGUGCAACAUUACAAAAUUUAGCUUAGCUAUCUAUCAGAUUUCUUGACUCAAAUUCCAGCUAGCAAAGAAGAAGAAUGAAUCCCCAGAAAAACCAUGCUAAACGAAAUAGAGACUCAUCGAUUGACCUCAAUCACAUUAUUUGUUAAAUAGAGACUGAGCAAAGAGGGAAGGUCAGAAAGAAAUUACAAUUGCUAUUGGUGCAACAAUACAAAUUUUAGCUUAGCUAUCUAUCAGAUUUCUUGACGCAAAUUCUAGCAAGCAAAGACGAAGAUUGAAUCCCCAAAAAUCCAUGCUAAACCAAAUAGAGACUCAUUGAUUUACCUCAAUUAAAUUGUUUAUAAAACAUUGUACAUGAACUUGUUUUAAAUACAUGACAAAAUCUAGCUGAGCUAAACCUUCCUGGAAUCUUAUGUGGAUUUUUAGAGUUUAGACCAAGGAGAAAUGGGGAAAUAAUUCAUGAUAGAGGGUAGUGCAUGCAGGAGCCUCCGAAUAGCGGGUAGCCUAGCGAGGUUUGUAGGAAAAAGGUGGCUUUUGUCUCAUCAGUGAGUUUGUUGCCCAAUGCCCGUGCUACUGAUAUAAUGUCGUUCAUGACAUACCUCGCCCAGUUCCAAUUUGGGAUGUCAUCUAAAUUUUCAAGAGCCACAAAAUAUGCUGGAAGAAUAACUACAGAUCAAAUGGACCUCAAACUUUAUCUCACCGUGAACACCACAUAAAUCACAUUCUAACAUGGAGGCCUCAGCCAUCGCCAAGGCAUCUCAUGGAACAUGGGGGAAACUCCAAAUCGAACAGAGCAACACAAAAAUAGGAAUCAGGCAUGAGGAAAGGGGAAUAAGCUAACCUGGGUAAUGGGAUCAGCAGGUCGAGGAGGGUGCCACCGUGCCAGCGGCCUCCACAAGGAUAAUCUUGCACACGAUGUCGCCUCAAGCAAUGGAUCGCAACCACCAGAACCGAAGCACUUGUUGUUCAUGGUUUCAGUUAUGAGAUAUCCCGUCAACUGAGGUACAAAUCACAAAUAGGUCAGCUCACGAGCUAAAGAAUAUAAUCUUAUCCAAGAAAAGACAAAAUAGUCCAGAGCAGCAAAGCUUUAUUAAGUUCUUUACUAAGAAAGCGAACUUAGUAAUUACAGCCCAAACAGAGAAUAAAUGGUUUAGAACAGGCAUAAAUCUGAUCCAUCUUCCAUCAUCAAUAAUAAAGAUAGGAAAUCUUGAAAUCCUUGAUCCAAACAUCAGAAGUCACAAAAGUCGAAGCAAACAGUGAACUGAAAAUUACUCCGAAAAAAACUUUUAUUUUGUUGACUCUAGACGAAGCCCAUGCUUUGUUGUCCUGGCAAUACAACAAAUUACUGGCCCAAGCUUGAAGUACUAACAAGAACGAAUCCCUUUCGUUAUUAAUUCAUUCAAUGAACAGCAGAGAAAAUGGAUGCUUGUGCAGGCAUCGUAAUGAAUGGUACUUGAUUUAGAGAAAUAACUAUGCUAAUAUAUGACUUCGCUAACUAAUCAAUCUGCUGCAAUCACAGUUGGUGCAUAACACUAAACGAGCACUUGUGAUCAGGGCAACGGUUAUAGAUAAGUAAAGAGAAAUUACAAAACAAGGUAUGACGAGACUACCAAAUCAGCCUGAGAAAGUAGAAAGUAGGAUCAACGGAAACAUAACAAAGGAAACAGAAUAAUGAAUAUUUAGUGGAGAUGAGCUAGUUGAACCUACAGGCCAGAGGAAGAGCUCACCGGAAGGUUAGGCCAGCGAAUUUGGGACCGAUCCCUAGAAGGAAGAAGCGAAGAACUAAAGAACACAUCUUGUUCACGCCUAACUAUGUUGUGCAAUUGUGCCGAUGGCCUCGUCGUCUAAGGCAAAUACAUGUCUCCAUCAUAAAUCAAAAGCGUGAACUGGGAGGACUUCUGCAAUUGCUAAGCGAAUCAUGCAUACAACCAUGACAGUGGCUACAAAUUUGAGUUUCUUCACCUCCCGAUGCAAUUACAACAUAUGAUUAUGCACAUAUAUAAUAGUAGUAUGAUGGAUUAACUACCAUCAAGAAGAGAACAUAAACUGACAGAUUUUCCGGUAAAAAAAACUGGCUGCAUUAAUGUUUACCUUUCCCACUGCAUAACCAAAUGUCAUUAACUAUCAAAUUAGUCGCAAAUAAGCCAAAUAUCACCAACGGGUUGCUACCUUGAUGCUUUAUAUUUCUUCUAUGUGUCUUGCUGUCCCCUUCAAGUAACUGACGCGCCCGGUCGAUCCCAAAGGUUGCUAUUUCCUUGUGGAGUUUCUUAUUGACAUAGAUCUGAACAAAAAUGGAGGGACCAAAUAAAUUUCAGAUUUAGGAGUCAGGAACUAACAGUUGUAAAUCCACACCAAUGAACACAAAUACAACCUGAUUAUGUGGCAGACCUUUAACAGGAAAGGUAAAAUCUGUAGCAUAGUUUGCAACUUAAAAUUAUAGGUCACUAAAGUGCAUGCCACAACAUAAGCAAAAUUCAUCUAACAAACCUCGAGCUUGUGUACGACUGUCUUAUUAAGCACAUCAUGCUGACAUGCAAACUCGUGAUUGGAAAAAAGAAGUUACUCUAGCGAAAACUGGUGCUAAGCAGUAAUGGGAGCUAGAGGGAGCACCGCUUCUGAACAUUCUAAAACAAUGAAAAGGCGUGCUUACAUCUAUGAAGCUAAAAAUAGUACACCGAACCAUAUUGAUUGAAUACGGGUAACAACGGAAAAACAAUUAAUUGGAGUGCAGAAUCUGCAUAGAAUAGAACCGGAACACAUCAAUCUAGGCAUCUAACUAGCUUCUGCCAUCAGGGUUGCUUGCUAAUUGCAACAAUAUUCAUAACUGAAGAUUCAAUGAGAACUACCAAGGGAUAAAAAAAGGGAACUGAAUCUGUUCACUCAAUGUGUGCAUGACCUGCAAUGUCCUCACAUAUGAGUAAUUCAUCAAAGAAACCAUAAAAAAUUCAUCAAACAAAAAACACAAAUGGAAGGCAAGCUUACCUGAAUGGGGAUUGCCCGUGACCUGGAUCUCGUCGUUCGCGUGCUGGUGAUCUGCUACUAUUUGAACAACAACUCUGCCCGCUGAUGCUGUCCAAACUGUGCAAAUUUAUCCAUACUAUCCCUGCAAUUGUUAAGAUCAAAAUCAGCAUCUUUUACAACUAAUGCAGAGUAUGAAUUUCUCGGCAGACAAAAAAGGCUUUGUAGAUUCAGUAUAGUUGACACAAACAAAAUGCAGUACCUGCUUUCCUCAAGAACCCGUGUCUGAAAGAUGUGGAGAGAAAAUUGCAAAAUAUGAGCAUUAGUACUUCUUAGGUAUCACAGAAAUUCAAUGCAACUUCAACAAGACCAGCGCUUGCUUUUCACACUAUUGAAAAUUCACGUCUUCCAUAUUUGAUCCACCUUUCCGCUGGGCAAAACAACAAAUAUGUGGGGGCAAAAUAUCUAUUUAUGCUCAGAAAAGAAAUUACCAAAUAUCCGGCCACGAGCGCGUGUGUGAGAGGACCGAGGAGAGAGUGUGCGUGACAGCGAGAGAGGAUGAAGGCAAGGACGUGGGGGCUGAUCUCUCGGGUGGAUGGACGGCAGCGCGAAAGCCGGACGGAGCUGGCCGUCUCUGCAGCCCACGCUCCUCUUGCCGACGAUGGCGCCGUGGACCACCGCUGCGACUCAAGCUCCUCCCGGGGUCGCUGCUGCACGCGUGGAGAUGGAGGCGGGGUGCAGCCUUCCGUGCAUCGCGCACGAGCCCCAGCCUCCUCGCAGCUCCCGAUCCAGGAACGGGUCGAGCCGCCGCCAACCGUCAGAUCGAGCCCGACCUCGCCGGCGCAGGCCGACGCCGGCCGGUGACCCUCUCCCGUCAGCCGCCACACCUCACUCUCCUCUUCCCUCUCUCUUUCUCCCUCCUCUCCUUCCUUCUCUCUCUCUCAUCUUCUCUCUCUGCCGGGGUUCGUGCGGGAGGAGGGGAUUGGGAAGGCGGCGCAAAGGAGAGGGAGGAAGGAGAGGAGGCAGUGCGGAUAUUUUCUAGGGCUCGGCUCACUCCACCCAGAACGAGGUACACCUUAGUCAUGAUAAAAAGCAACUGAUUACUGGGCCCAUGGCUCAAGAGGCCCAAUUCGACAGCCACUUCCAAACAAAACAUGUAUGUACAAAAGAACGAACGGUUGACCUCAUGCCAGCGGCCAAAACAGAGCUACAGAAAAAGAAUCGAAGGGCCCAACGAGCGUGGCGCGCGCGGAUGAUGCCUCAGAAUGGCGGGUUGUCUACCAAGAUUUAUAUGUUCAAUACCAUGUUCUCCUCGAUGUUCAUGGAGAUCUAUUCGAUGUAAUACUUUUUUGCGGUGUAUUUGCCGAGAUCCGAUGAAUUGUGGAUUUGUGAUUAGUUUAUCUAUGAAUAUUAUUUGAAUCUUCUCUGUUUUUUAUGCAUGAUUUGAUAUCUUUGUAAUUCUCUUCGAACUAUCGGUUUGGUUUGGCCAACUAGAUUGGUUUUUCUUGCAAUGGGGGAAGUGCUUAGCUUUUGGUUCAAUCUUGCGGUGUCCUUUCCCAAUGACAGCAAGGGCAGCAAGGCACGUAUUGUAUUGUUGCCAUCGAGCAUAAAAAGAUGGUCAAUGAAUAUUAUUUGAAUCUUCUCUGAUUUUUUAUGCAUGAUUUGAUAUCUUUGUAAUUCUCUUCGAACUAUCGGUUUGGUUUGGCCAACUAGAUUGGUUUUUCUUGCAAUGGGGGAAGUGCUUAGCUUUUGGUUCAAUCUUGCGGUGUCCUUUCCCAAUAACAGCAAGGGCAGCAAGGCACGUAUUGUAUUGUUGCCAUCGAGCAUAAAAAGAUGGGGUUUUCAUCAUAUAGCUUGAGUUAAUUCCUCUAUAUCAUGCCAUCUUACUUAAUGUGUUACUUCGUUCUUUAUGAACUUAAUACUCUAUAUGCAUGUUGGAUAGCGGUCGAUGUGUGGACUAAUAGUAAUAGAUGCAGAAUUGUUUCGAUCUACUUGACACGGACGUGAUGCCUAUAUUCAUGACCAUUGCCUUAGAUAUCAUUAUAACUUUGCGCUUUUCUAUCAAUUGUUCGGCAGUAAUUUGUUCACCCACCGUAUUAUUUUCUAUCUUGAGAGAAGCCUCUAGUGAAACCUAUGGCCCCCGGAUCUAUUUUCCAUCAUAUAAGUUUCCGAUCUACUAUUUUGCAAUCUUUUACUUUCCGAUCUAUAAACCAAAAAAUACCAAAACUAUUUACUUUAUCGUUUAUCUAUCUCUAUCAGAUCUCACUUUUGCAAGUAACCGUGAAGGGAUUGACAACCCCUUUAUCGCGUUGGGUGCAAGUUGUUUGAUUGUUUGUGCAGGUAUUCGGUGAUUUGUUCGUUGUCUACUACUGGAUUGAUACCUUGGUUCUCAAACUGAGGGAAAUACUUAUCUCUACUAUGCUGCAUCACUCUUUCCUCUUCAGGGAACAAACAACGCAAGCUCAAGAAGUAGCACCCCUCUUAGUAAUACAACAUCGUAAAGAGCUUGCAAGCAAUGUGGCUAAUGAGUUAGUCACGAUAUCUUGUAUUACGGAACGAGUUAAGAGACUUGCCGGUAACGAGAUUGUACUAGGUAUGGAGAUACCGACGAUCGAAUCUCGGGCAAGUAACAUAUCGCCGAACAAAGGGAAUUGCAUACAACAUUAACCGAAUCCUUGACAUCGUGGUUCAACCGAUAAAAGAUCUUCGUGGAAUAUGUAUGAAUCGAUAUGUGCAUCCAGGUCCUGCUAUUGGUUAUUGACCGGAGAGAGGUCUCGGUCAUAACUACACAAUUCCCGAACCCGCAGGGUCGCACGCUUAACGUUCGUUGAUGCUAGAGUAGUAUUGGGAUAUUUGAUGAUUGGUAACCGACUGUUGUUUGGAGUCCCGGAUGAGAUCCGGGGCGUCAUGAGGAGUCUCGGAAUGGUCGAGAGGUAAAGAUUUAUAUAUGGAAAGUCAUAUUUUGUUUUCCGGAAUUAGGUGCAGUUUUGUCGGCAUUGUAACGGGAAGCUUCCAGAAGGUUCCGUAGGAUUCCGGAGGGGUCCGGAAGUCCACAAAUGGGUCCACCAUGUUCCAAGGGCUGGCAUGGGCUGAGGGGAGGUGCCCUGGCCUUAUUGGGCUAGGCGCACCAAGUCCUCGAAAGCCCGUGUGGCUAGAAAAGGGAAAAAAGGGGAGUCCUAGUAGGAAUCGGACCGGACUUGGAGUCCAAGUCCUCUCCCCCUUGGCGCCAACUCCUAUAAGGAGUAGGGCUGGAAACGCAGCCCUCCCACGCAUAUAAGUAUAGGGGAGGGGCACAGCAAGGCACCCCAACACAUUGGUCUUGGCUGCUGCCCCGUCUCUCCCUCUCGGCAUAGUUCUCGUCCAUGGUUUUUCACUUAGCGAAGCGCUGCCAUUGCUCCACCACCACGCCGUUGUGCUGGUUGUGAUCCCAUCUACUUCUCCGCCUUCUCUUGCUGGAUCAAGGAGGAGUAGACGUCAUGGAGCCGCACGUGUGGUAAACUUGGCACUAGAUCGGUUGGAUUGUGAUCGGAUUGCGAAGAGUCUGACUACAUCAACCGCGUUAUACACACUUCCGCUUUCGGUCUACGAGGGUACGUAGACACACUCUCCCCUCUCGUUGUUAUGCUUCUCCUAGAUAGAUCUUGGGUGUUCGUAGGAUUUUUUUUUCAUACUUCAUUCCCCAUCAGUGAGGUGGGUGUGUGUGGUUACAAGAGCGUACAAGACAAUUUUAUCAUUAAUUAGACCAUGGUAGUUUUAUUCUAUAUAGCAUGGCAUUUUUAUUAUUUAGAACAAGACAAUUUUAAUAAUUAGAACAUGAUAGUUUUAUUGUAGGUAGUAUGUCACUUUUUAUUAGAUCAUGUCAAUUUUACUACUCCCUCUAUUUCCUUAUACAAGGUCACUAUGAAAAAUAUAUUUUGCAUCUAUACAAGGCCAUUAACAGUAAUCGAGACAAAAAUUAAUGAUGUUUCCUCGUACUAGCAACUUGUUUAAUACUUGUAUGCAUGUAGUCAUAAUGACACUGUAGUACUUUCUUCUUAUUCAUUCCUUGCAUGCAUGCGGGUGUAUUAAUAAUUUUGGUUAACGACAAGAAAAAUUGGCUUACAAAACAAUCAUUAAAUUUUACCUUGAUACCUGUAAUCUGAAUUUGUGGCCUUGUAUAAGGGAAUGGAGGGAGUAGUUAAACAUGGCAGUUUUAUUUGUCAUGGCAACUUGUUUUGAAUAAUAGUCAUCGUACAACAUGCAAUUUGAACACAUUUUUGCCAUGGAAACUAAAUAUUUUGUUGACACGGUCAUUUCAAACUAUUUUCGUGAUGUAAACUUAAGAUGUGUUCCACUGACAUCUAAAGUUAACUUGUGUUGCCACUUUUUGUUACAAGCAUCUGGUUCGUGGCGACUUUUUUGUAUGUUUUUUUAGCUAUUUUCAUUUCAGUUGUAAAUCCUAGCUUGAAGGGCUGAUACUGCUUAAGUUGAGCCUGUUUGUGGCCCAUUUUAGAUCCUUAACUUUGGUGGUUCAUCGAGAAGUACGCUUGGGGCACCAGCGUGCCCUACUCCGGGUUCUAUGGGACGUUCGUCAGGUCGUGCCCUACUCAAAGGACCAAUGUAAAAAAAACUAAGUAUUUCAAUCCUCAAAAAUCCUACAGUGCUCGUUUGAUUCAAAGUAGCCCUUGUCGUGACGAAUCUCUCGGAUACAGGAGGCAGAGGACAAUCCAACCCCUAGUUGCUAGUAGUAACAGUAGGAGCGGGACACACUGUGCUCUGCAUGAAUUGAACGGGCGAAUAAAGCUAGCGCAAAACACCAAACAUCUCCGGGUUGUCACCGUGCUGUCCGUGAUCGUCCAAGCACCAGCUACACAGGCCUCGAAAUCCCGUGAUUAAUAUUACUCGACAUGCUUUGAAAUGUCGGGUACCUUCCAUAGGUUUAGGGGGCGAGAUGAUUUGAUUAAGCUGUAUAAUAGGCUAUAGGGUAUUGUGAAGUUGUUAUUUUGUCGAGCACUGGAACAAAAUCUUGCUGAAAAUGGUGCUUUUGAAGAAAAAAAACCGAAAGUAGCCAUAGUAAUAAUCUGAUCAUAUUAUUAGCUGCCAUCCAACGAAUCAAAGAAUAGUAAUACUCCUAGCAGUAAAAAACAAUGAGCUACUAAUCCCUACGACCAACCUAUACAGAGACACCGAAAUCAUAUAACGCCGCCCAAAAAUCAAUCAAAUCCAUAGCCAUUAGUGUCCUGUCAAGUAAGAGCUCAG